rnacentral:lncRNA from 1 species
UGUUAUAUGCUUACCAAGGGUGAGAAGGGUGUGCAUGCUAAGUUUGUUGGUACACCAAUUAUGGGUCCAAAGAAGAAGGCCAUUUGGGUACCAAAAAGCUUAGUCACUAACCUCUAAGGACCCAAACAAGUAUGGGUACCUAAGAAACAUUAAUUUGUUUUGUAGGUAAAUUACAAAGCCGGAGGAAGGCAUUGGAUUCUUGAUAGUGGGUGCACUCAACACAUGACUAGUGAAUCAAAAAUGUUCCAAGAAAUCAAGCUAAAUGAUGGUGAUGUGAGGAGUAUCACAUUUGGUGACAAUAGUAGAGGUGAUGUGAUUGGUCUUGGCAAGAUUGCAAUUUCAAAUGAUAUGUCCAUUUCCAAUGUGAUGCUAGUGGAGAGCUUGAACUUCAAUUUGCUAUCAAUUGCUCAAUUGUGUGGUCUUGGCUACAAGUGUAUAUUUGGUGUUGAUGAUGUUGAAGUGGUUAGUGUUGAUGGAUCAAAUGUUGCUUUCAAGGGGUUUAGAUAUGGCAAUCUCUAUCUUGUUGAUUUCAACACUGAAGCUCAAUUGUCAACAUGCUUGCUCUCCAAAUCAAGCAUGGGUUGGCUAUGGCAUAGAAGGCUUGGUCAUGUUGGAAUGAAGCAACUCAACAAGUUAGUGAAACAUGAUCUAGUUAGAGGCCUGAAGGAUGUCACAUUUGAAAAGGAUAAGCUUUGUAGUGCAUGUCAAGCCGGAAAGCAAGUUGGCAACACUCAUCCAAAGAAGAGCAUCAUGAGUACUUGUAAGCCAUUUGAGUUGUUGCAUAUGGAUUUAUUUGGGCCAACAACAUACACCAGUAUUGGAGGCAACAAAUAUGGAUUUGUGAUUGUGGAUGAUCUCACUAGAUACACUUGGGUGGCAUUUCUUAGUGACAAGAGUGAUGUAUAUGACAUCUUCAAGUUAUUCAUCAAAAGGAUGCAAAAUGAGUAUGAAACCACCAUCAAGAAAGUGAGAAGUGACAAUGGAAGUGAAUUCAAAAACACAAGAGUUGAUGAGCUAUGUGAUGAGUUAGGAAUCAAGCAUCAAUUCUCGGCAAAGUAUACAACACAAUCCAAUGGGCUAGUUGAAAGGAAAAAUAGAACUUUGAUUGAUAUGGCAAGAUCAAUGCUAAGUGAGUACAAUGUGAGUCACUCAUUUUGGGCCGAAGCAAUCAACACGACAUGCUUCUAUAACAAUAGACUCUAUUGUCAUCCAUUUCUAGAGAAGACACCUUAUGAGAUAUUGAAUGGAAGAAAGCCCAACAUAUCAUACUUUAGGGUAUUUGGAUGCAAAUGCUACAUAUUGAGAAAAGGCACUAGAUUGACCAAGUUUGACAAGAAAGUUGAUGAAGGCUUCUUGCUUGGUUACUCCACUUCAAGCAAAGCAUAUAGAGUAUGGAAUUUGGGAAGUGGUCAACUUGAGGAAGUGCAUGAUAUUGAAUUUGAUGAAACUCAAGGCUCUCAAGAUGAAGAAGAAAACUUGGAUGAUGUGAGAGGCACACAAUUGGCCGAUGCAAUGAAGAAAAUGGAAAUUGGUGAUAUUAGGCCAAGAGAGGUAAUUGAUGUUGAAGAUGACAAAGAUCAAGUGCUUCCUACCUCUAAUGUGCAAGCUAGUGGGUCUCAUGACCAAAUUCAAGCUAGUUCAUCAUCUCAAGUGCAAGAUCAACAACAUGAAGCUAGUGCACCAUCUAAAUCAAGUGAUCAACCAAGUGCAAGAAAUCAAGUGCAAAUACUCCAACCAACAAAUAUUGCAAGAGAUCAUCCAUUGGAUCAUAUCAUUGGUGAUAUAUCAAGAGGUGUGCAAACUAGGUCAAGAUUGACAUCAUUUUGUGAACAUUUCUCAUUUUAUCAUCCAUUGAACCAAAGAAGAUAGAAGAAGCUUUGAGAGAUGUUGAUUGGAUAAAUGCAAUGCAUGAAGAGCUAAAUAAUUUUACUAGAAAUCAAGUAUGGGAGUUAGUAGAGAGGCCUAAGGAUCAUAAUGUGAUUGGAACCAAGUGGGUCUUUCGAAAUAAACAAGAUCAAGAUGGGAUAGUAAUAAGGAACAAAGCAAGAUUGGUAGCACAAGGUUACACACAAGUUGAAGGUCUUGACUUUGGAUAAACAUAUGCCCCAGUUGCUAGAUUGGAAGCAAUUAGGAUCUUGUUAGCCUAUGCUUGUGCUCACAAUAUUAAGCUAUAUCAAAUGGAUGUGAAGAGUGCAUUCUUGAAUGGAUAUAUAAAUGAGUUGGUUUAUGUUGAGCAACCUCCUGGUUUUGAAAAUGACAAGAAGCCCAAUCAUGUUUACAAGUUGAAGAAAGCUUUGUAUGGUUUGAAACAAGCACCUAGAGCAUGAUAUGAGAGGUUAAUGGAUUUUUUACUCUCUAAAGGGUUUAUUAUGGGUAAGGUUGACAUCACUCUCUUCACUAAAAGGAUAGGCAAGGACUUAUUUGUGUUGCAAAUCUAUGUCGAUGACAUUAUAUUUGGUUCAACCAAUCAAGAUUUUUGUGAAGAGUUUGGAAAGAUGAUGGCAAAAGAAUUUGAGAUGUCCAUGAUUGGAGAGCUUAGUUACUUCCUUGGUCUUCAAAUCAAGCAAAUGAAGAAUGACACAUUUGUAAGUCAAGGCAAGUAUAUCAAAGACAUGCUCAAGAAAUUUGGCAUGGAUGAUGUGUUGACGGUCCUUAAGUAUCAAAUUUAAUUAUCAAAUAAACAAAGAAAAGGAUCCAAAUGAAAUCAACAUCUAGACUUAGGGUUUUAUCUAACAGAAUUCCACGAGUUUUGGUGUUUGUCUAUUUCUGCAGGGGGUUAUCAAGAAAUACGGAAGAAAGCCCCACACGUCGAGAUUACAUAGAGAUAUUAACGUGCCGCGCAAUUAUCUUACAUCUAGAAGACUCCAGAAGCCACGGGAAGAAAGCGGAGGCCGAACGGGGCCAGAGGUAGGGCGCCCACCCUCCUUCCCUGGGCGCCCACCCUGACUUGGAGUCCAAACAGGACUCUGUUUUGUGGAAGAUCUCCACCGACCUAAAGGAUCAAGGAUAACCGUUCAAUCUAAGUCGGUUUGAUCCAACGACCCAUAUUCACUUGAAGGGACUAUAAAACCAGACCCCCUGGCCCCUGGAGGAGAGAGCCUCUCAACCCUAAUUCAUUAUUCUUCAAGGGAGAAGAAGCCCCUGAUCAAGAUUAGAGCCACCACAUCAAUUAGACAUCUAGAUUAGCAUAGCUACAUAGGAUUAGAACUAGAAGGAGUCAAUCUUCGAUUGGUUUUCGGAUCUGUCAAGAGGAUUCUUGGUAAUUCUCUAAUUGUGCUUCUAAUUAUUCUUCUAAUCAUCUUUGUUCUUCAAUAUUAUGAAUAUGACUUUGUUCUACUUUAAUAUAUUGCUUAUGACUUUGCUCUACUUGUUUAUAUUCAAGAUUAUAUUGUUCUUAGUUUAUCAUAGUUAUAUACUUGGCUUAGUUAGUGUGGCAGAACCUCCUAAGUGUUUGGGCCCACCGACACCUGCCAUUGUCCUAAGGACCUCUGACGGUGAUGCCGGGAGUCCUCCCACUUUAGAAGUCCGAUGAGCAUUGCUGGGCGCUCAUUCCACUGCUACCUGUGGCGUACCAAGCUGGCUCGUCCUGACCACUGGUAAUGGUCAAACAACGAGAACUGUUUCUUCUCGCCCUUACAGGAUAGCAAGUGGCCACUUUAACACCAGGAUCAUUCGUUGCGAAGAUAAAGCAGUAACUCAACAACACAAGACCAAAAUAAUAUUUCAGAGUGAAACAGCGGAAGUAUUACAUAACUUAAUUUACAAAAGGAGUUCUUCCAAAUAGUAGAGUGUUAUUACAAGCCUGGUCCAGCGGAGCAACUGAAACUUUAGUAUAGACAGAACAAAAUUACAGACCCUGCCCAUGGGUCACGCUCACUCUUCUUCGUCGUCGACCUCAACGACGGUCACACAACAGGGUCCGAAACAAGUCGGCUCCUGAGCUUCACCUGCAACAGGGGUAUUGAAACCCUGAGUACGGGAGUACUCAACAAGACUUAUCCGACGGGAAAAGAGGAGAAUUUAGGGAUGCAGGCUUAGGGUAGACAAGGGGUGGCUGAGCAAGGAGCCAAAGUGUUUUGCGUAAAAGCUUACUAGUAGUGCAUCCUUAUUUUCAAGUUUUAUCCCGAAUUCCUCCCUCGCAGAGGCAGAGGAAUUCGAGGAUAGUCUAACUGGUUGUUCCCCACAGACGAAUCCGUGAGUUCCUAGUCCUAUCAUUAAGUAUUAUUUAUCGAUGGCCAUAGCUUCAUGUCGCUAUGAGUCCGGGAAUUGGGAUCCGAACCUCAUGAGACAUUUUCCCCUUUCUCAUUAUAUCACUUAGUUGCAUAUUUAACUACGAUGAGGGUCGAAGGAAUUGAGUCUCCCAAUCGGGGAGCAACGACGAUUCGAAUCGCUUAGCAAUCCAGCUGGAGUUCCUAACCACCCGACAUAUGUGGAACCAAAUCUUGCAUAUAUCAACCCGAAUCAAGCUCUCCCCAAAUUUGACCAGGUUCGCGGCACCCGAGAGCACAGUACUCCACCAUCCUACAGCCGAUCUAGAUGUUUUCCGGUCAUCUCAGAUCCGUAAGGUUGGCACACGUUACUCUCGCCAUCUUUCCACUCCCAGUGCGCGAGUAGCUGUUCGCGUCGAGGGAUUACAAGAUCGGGCUUACCGAGGGCAAGUGGCUAGUACUAUAAAUUCUCAACCCAGCAGGCCAUCAACGGACCGGUCCUUAAUCGACACAGUUGGAGACACUACUUUAAGACUCCAUUCUUAAAGCAAGUCCACCGACCGGUCUCAACUUAAAACAUCAUUGAUCAUAAGUGUAUCCCACAACAACCCUUCAAUCUUUCUUGUUUAAAAACCUAUCUAGUAGCAGGGCUAAGCAUCGCUACGCAGUUUUAAAAUAAAACAGGUGUCAAGGACAGGAUACAGAUAUCAAGGUAGUAAAUGCAGCAAGUAGGUUAACCCAAUUCUCAACUACCUAAUGCAGCAUUUUCAAUUCAUAAGUGACAAAAGGUUUAAAACAUCCAAGCAGGGGUUAAUGCAUCCGGGGCUUGCCUUGGUUGCAGGGCAGAGAGGGACCCUCGGAGACUUCCCAAGUCUCGGAUCCGACUUCCUCGAACGGAGCACCGACCUCGGGGUUCGGUUCAACGGGCGCUCCUUCGGUCACGGACACUAUACGCAAAAUGAUGAAUGCUUAUGAUAUGCGUAUGGCAAUUAUGCAAGAUGGACCGAAUUAAGUACGAUUUGCCUUUUUAAUGCAAUACAGAAUUGUCACUAAAUAAAGUUGUUUACAAUUUACUGUUUUUACCCAAGAGAUUGCAUCAGUAAAUUAAAACUCCUUUUAAUUCCUAAUUAUCCUGAAUUAACUAAUUAUUAAUCCUAUUUACCUUAAUCAAUUCUUAAUUAACUACUAAUGACAGUAAUUAAGCAUUAAAGCUGAACAACAAUUAAAUGCCAAAGGUCAUUAGGGUUAAUGACCUCAGGUCAUCACAUAAUCCAAAAUCACUCAACCCUAAUUAUGAGGACCUAAAUAAUCACUAUUUAAUUAUUUUGGAAUUAUUACUUAAGUGUUAAAUAAGGGUUUAUUAAUAUUUUAAACAAACAUUAUCCAAAUGCCACCAAAUUUUGUGGGGAGCCAGGGAACAAUAUUCAGAGGCAUCUCACAAUUUUUGGUGAUUUUUGGACAUACUAACAAAUUAUUAAAAAUCAUACAAGUUUUAUUUGCUAAUUAAAAGGGCCAAUUUUUGUAGACAUGUAAACUACCAAAAAAAAUCCACUAUUUUUCUUGGGUUCUACUUAUUUCAGAGAAUCUACACAAAAAUUUCCAUGAUUUUUGCAUUAACACACGAAUUAUUACACAAAUUCAAACAUUCAGCAAAAAUUGCAUAAAAGGAAAAAGGAAAAGAUUUUUCGCGCGGCGGGCGGCCUGGAACUUGGCCCGCAAGCCGGCCCACGCGCGCUCGGCCUGCUCACGCGCCGCGUAGACGGCCUGCGUGGACACGGUCCACUCUGGCCCGAGCGCUUCCCGCGCCAGCGCCCUCUCCCUCUCUCUCUCACGCGGUCGCUGACGGGCGGGUCCCGCCCGUCAGCUCCGUCUCCUUCCUAGCGCCGCGGCUCCGGCGAGCUCCAGUGAGCCGUCGGCGAGCUCUCGGCCUUCGCGGCGAGACGUGUUAGCUUCCUCGACCUCCCGUGCACCCAGGGACACCCUUUUCUCCCACUCUCCUCUAUCCUAACCCCUGUGACCACGGGCACGGCGGACGGCCGCCUCAGCCGAGCAGACGCCGGCCACUACGAGCGAGUAGAGCGUGACUUGAGCAGCGCAAAAGCACCAGGGGCUCACCGCGACUUCAACCGAACAAGAAGCGACAGCGGAGAGGCUCUGGUUGACGCUGGCCACGGUGACGUGCUUGCGGUGGCGCUCGGCCGGAGUUGGGGGAGAAACGGCUCGGGUGGAAGCUACGGUAGGAUAGAGCGUGUGUUUGGGGGCGCAAUCGGUGGCGGGGCUCACGGCGGAGCUGCUGGGGUGCUCAGGUGGCUUGGAACGGCAGCGAGUGAGGCGAAUUGGAGAGGCGCAGGGAGCUCGUCGGCGUCGGGGUUCAAGAAAAGGAAGAGGGGACUCUGGCCACUCGGGGCUUUAUCCCCACAACGGAAGGCGGUUCGCGGAUGAGGACGUCCACGCGAAGCACAGCAGCAAGCAGCUGCGUGGCCAGCUGCGUGGCGGCGCGCGCGGAGGCGGCUCUGCCCCGGCGGCAGAGCACCCCCCCUGCCGAUCACUGUAGCCGGCCUCAUCCACUCAGUUUGUCUUUUUGUGAAAUCCGACCAAAAUUUGAACUAAAGUCAAAUUUCCACCAAAACAAAAGUUGUGCCAAAUUUUGUAAGCUACAAAUCAUAUUUAGGUGUCCCAAGCUGAUUCUCAAUGGAUCAAGGGUAAUUUUGCCAAACAGUUUGAAAAUCAAACUCAAAUCAAAGAAAUUCCAAAUUUUUGAAUUGGGGCAAAACAGAAUUUCCAGAAUUACUUUUGAUUUUGUAUAACAACUUGAAAAACUCCCAACAUGAAAGUUUCUCAACUUUUUGUGAUCUACAACUUUCAUGUUGACCACUUUUUCAAAAUUCCAAAUGGAUUUUGAAUUGGGGAUUUAAGUUGGAAAAGGGGACACUUUCUGGAAAUCUGUAUUUUCAAAAUUACUUUGAAUUUUGUAUUGAAACUUCAAAAACUCAAAACACCAAAGUUGUACAUCUUGCCAAGAGCUACAACUUUGCUUUUGAACUCAACCUCAAAUUUUGCAUAGUUUUUGACUUAAGCAAAAGGGGACAAAUCUAGGAUCCAGAAAUCAGGGUUUUCCCCCCCCCUUAGCUUCUCGGAAAACUUCCACCCUAGGGUUUUAGCAACCACACAAGCAACAACACACCACAGAAGCACACUCUACUUCCCUAAGCUCAAGCAAUCAAAGUAAACUUAUUUUAAGUUGAUGCAUACUAAUGUGCUUUAACAAUUAUGCUUUGCAAUGCUUAUGAUGACAUGAUCCGUUUUUAGUAACCGUAACAUCAGGGAUGUUACAGCCCUUCCCCCUUAAAGAAAUCUCGUCCCCGAGAUUUAAAACCUUAGGGUAAGUAAUGGAAAAGGAAAUUUGUCAAAACUCUUUCAUCUUCAACUUUUCCAUAAGGCAAGGAAUUGGGGAAAAAUACUUCAUUAUAAGCAUAUAUGUACAUUAAGUACAUGGCUUUGGCGACUCUGUUUCUUCACUGGAGUACAUCCUCUGGUUAUCAUAUAUGGUCCUGAAGAGAAGCAUAGAAUUCAGGAAAAUUCUCUAGCAAGUAAUCUUCAGAUUCCCAGGUGGCUUCUUCUUCAGAGUGCUGGCUCCAUUGUACCUUAUACCAUUUGGUGGUUGUCCUUCGAGUAACUCUAGCUUUUUGAUCCAGUACUCGGAUAGGAUAUUCCGAAUAAGUUAGAUCUGGUUCAAGCUUUACAUCUUCAAUAUCUUGAACUCGAUCUGGUACCCGAAGACACUUUUUCAGUUGAGACACAUGGAACACAUUAUGUACCCCGGAUAAUCGUUCGGGCAGUUUAAGGCGGUAAGCGACCUGCCCACAUCGGUCAAUAAUUGGAAAUGGACCAAUGUAACGAGGCGCUAACUUGCCUUUAACACCAAAACGAUUUACUCCUUUCAUUGGGGAUACUUUCAAAUACACAUGAUCACCCUUGGUGAACCUUAAUGGUCGACGCCUUUUAUCAGCGUAACUUUUCUGUCGGGACUGAGCAACUUUCAAGUUAUUUUGGAUUUGUUUCACUUUGUUCUCAGUCUCUUUCACUAAGUCAACUCCGAAGAACCAUCUUUCUCCAGGUUCUGACUAGUGUAACGGAGUUCGACAUCGGCGACCAUACAGUGCCUCAAAGGGAGCCAUUUUGAUACUCUCUUGAUAGCUAUUAUUGUAGGAAAAUUCUGCUAGAGGCAAGCAGUCAUCCCACUUAUCUGGAAAAUUCAGGGCACAAGAUCUUAAUAGAUCUUCUAGGGUUUGAUUUACCCUUUCAGUUUGCCCACCGGUUUGAGGGUGGUAGGCUGUGCUAUAUAAAAGCUUAGUGCCCAAGGACUCAUGUAAACAUUUCCAGAAUUGGGAGACAAAUUGUGUGCCUCUAUCUGACACUAUUGUCUUUGGCACUCCAUGCAGACUUAGGAUACGGUCGAAAUAAAUCUUAGCACAGGUGGAGGCAGGAUACAAUAGCUUUACCGGCAGAAAAUGUGCUGUUUUGGUGAGGCGAUCUACUAUGACCCAAAUGGAAUCAAAGCCCUUGGCCGUCUUGGGCAAUCCUACUAUGAAAUCCAUACUUAUGUCAUCCCAUUUCCAUGCGGGGAUAGGCAAAGGUUGCAACUCCCCAGCGGAUUUGAGAUGAAUGGCUUUGACCUUUCGACAGGUGUCACAUUGGGCCACAUAGCGAGCUAUUUCUAUCUUCAUUUUUGUCCACCAAAACCUUUGCUUCAGGUCCUGAUACAUCUUAUUGCUUCCCGGAUGAAUAGAAUACCUCGUGGUAUGAGCUUCAUCUAGGAUUUGCUGACGUAGCUCAGGUACCUUUGGAACCACUAACCGGUUCUUGAACCAGAUUACUCCCGCAUCAUCCACCUUAAAGUCUGUGGGUGCUCUAUUAGAAAUCUUCUCUUUAAGAUGUCUCAUGCCUUUGUUUUCUUUUUGUGCCUUUAUGAUUUGAGCCUCGAGAUUGAAAUCAAUCUUUAAAUUGGAAAGGCUUCCUUGGGAAAUCAUUUCUAUUCCCAAGUUCUCUAGCUCUUGGCACAAAGUUAUAUCCCUAGGCGUCACUGUUAAGCAAUUACAGUGAGCCUUACGACUGAGGGCAUCCGCUACUACAUUUGCCUUGCCAGGGUGAUAAUGCACCUCAAGGUCGUAAUCUUUAAUUAGUUCUAGCCACCUUCGCUGGCGCAUAUUAAGCUCAGCUUGAGUAAAGAUAUACUUCAAGCUUUUGUGAUCUGUAUAUACAUGACAUGUGUUUCCCAACAAAUAAUGACGCCAGAUCUUUAAUGCAUGUACCACGGCGGCUAGUUCGAGAUCAUGGGUCGGGUAAUUCUCUUCAUGAGGUUUGAGUUGUCUGGAAGCAUAUGCAAUUACGCGACCCUCCUGCAUCAGCACACAGCCUAACCCGAUCCCUGAUGCGUCACAAUAUACAUCAAAGGGUUUUUCAAUAUCUGGCUGGGCUAAGACAGGUGCAGUUGUCAACAACCUUUUCAGAGUCUGAAAAGCUUGCUCACAUUGGGGUGACCAAACAAAUUUUGUUUGACUUUUGAGCAAGGUUGUGAUUGGUUUGGCGACUCUGGAAAAGUCCGGGAUGAAACGACGGUAAUAUCCCGCCAUGCCCAGAAAACUACGGACCUCAUGCACCGUAGUCGGGGGUUUCCAAUUCAACACAUCUUCUACCUUGCCUGGGUCUACAGCGACUCCUUCCGCUGAUAAUACAUGACCCAGGAAAUGGACUUUGUCCAGCCAGAACUCACAUUUGCUGAACUUGGCAUAUAGCUGAUGCUCCCUGAGACGGGUCAGCACGAUUCUCAAGUGUUCAGCAUGUUCCUUCUUAGUUUUGGAGUAAAUCAAGAUGUCAUCGAUGAAGACGACCACAAAUUUGUCUAGUUCUGGCAUGAAGACAGAGUUCAUCAGGUACAUAAAAUGGGCCGGUGCGUUGGUCAACCCAAACGACAUCACCAAGUACUCAUACAGCCCAUAACGGGUUGUAAAAGCUGUCUUGGGCACAUCUUCCGGCCUAAUUUUAAUUUGGUGGUACCCUGAUCUCAAAUCAAUUUUUGAGAACACUUUGGCCCCAGCUAGCUGGUCAAACAAUAAGUCAAUGCGGGGCAAUGGGUACUUGUUCUUAAUCGUCACCUCAUUUAGAGGACGAUAAUCGACACACAGCCUUAAUGUCUGAUCUUUCUUCUUCACAAACAAGGCUGGGCAACCCCAUGGAGAAGAACUGGGCUGAAUAAAACCCUUCUGCAACAACUCUUGUAAUUGGGUUUUUAAUUCGGCCAGCUCUUUCGGUGCCAUUCUGUAGGCCCUUCGAGAUAUUGGGGCCAUUCCUGGUUUCAAUUCUAUACUGAAUUGUACAUCCCGGUCCGGAGGCAGACCUGGUAAGUCUUCAGGAAAUACAUCCGGAAAAUCUCGAACUACCGGAAUAUCUUUGACUUCAGACACAUUUGCGGCAUGAACUUGCCCAAUUGUCCGUUUGGGAGUAACUAAUUGGAUUAGCAAAUAAGAAUUCUCAUUGGGCAAUGGGAUUUUAAUGGUUCGGUGCAAGGUGUCUAGCACAACCCCUCGUUGCGCCAUCCAGUUCAUGCCUAAGAUGACAUCAAUUUCUUGGUCCUUAAGAACAAUCAUGCUAGUAGGAAAAUUGUGCCCACCAAAUUCGAUGGGUACUUGGUGAACCAUUUCUUUAGACAGCAGCCGUCCUCCUGGCGACUGUAUAUAAAAAUGAUCUUGUGUUUCCCCAAUGGGUAUGCCAUGCUUUAACACAAAGGUGCGAUUGAUAAAUGUAUGAGAUGCACCAGAAUCAAAGAGCAUUAAAGCAGGAUGCUUCGCAACAGGAAACGUACCCAUCAUCACUGGUUCACCCUCUGGAAUUGUCUCCACUUCAGUAUGGAAGACUUGCCCUGUCUUCUUUACCGGUCUACCUUUCUGUACCUGUUGCCCUUUUUGAACCCCAGUUCUGAACUGACCCGGCUGGGGUUGGCCCAUAGGUGGCCUUGGAAAGGUAGGGUUGGUUUGACGGGGAAAAGGGCACUCUUUAGAGAAAUGCCCAGGUUUACCACAAUUGAAGCAAGGGUAAUUGUGGCUGGGCGGAGCAGUAGGGCGAACACCCGGGGCGUUCGGCUGGCGUGGUGCAAAAGCGAUGGCAGUAGGUCGAGAAUAUACCUGCUGCCCGGGUCUGUACUGUGGAGGGGAGAAAGGACCACGAUAAGGUAACGGCGUUUGGAAACGUCCGUGGCCCUGUGGAUGAUAAAUGAUCCUCUGGCGCUUUUGACCGCGACCAGAGAAAGAAGAGGAAGCAGCCUUCUUCUUGGCUUCCUUAUGUUUCCUAUUCUUUUCCUCUGAGGCGAUAGCAAUAUUUACCGCCUCAUAGAAAGUAGCAUUUUGGCAAGUGGUCAUCAUGGUCUGAAGUUUAGUAUUUAGACCACGCAUGAAACAGGCUUUCCUCUUUCUAUUAGUGUUCACAUGAUCCGUGGCAUAUUGAGAGAGAUGAUUAAACCUUGCCACGUAUUCCAUAACACUUUUAUCGCCUUGCUGCAAGGCGAGAAACUCUUCGGCCUUCAUGGCCAUGAGCCCUUCGGGGAUGUAGUGGGCGCGGAACGCGUCCCUAAAUUCAGUCCAAGUGACUUGGUGUCCGGGAGCUUGAAUAGCUAAGAAGUUCUCCCACCAGGCACCUGCAGCUCCCCGAAGCUGCUGAGCUGCAAAUAAGGGUUUCUGAGUUUCUGAACACUGAAUCAAACUAAACUUAUGCUCCAUAGUUCGGAGCCAGUCAUCCGCUUCUAAAGGCUCAUCGGCCUUAGUGAACACCGGGGGCCUGGUCUCGGUAAAGUCCACAUACCGAGCCUCUCCGUCCCCGUUGCGCGGUGCCCUGAAGUUUGGAGCAGGGUGUGUUUGACGCUGUGCUAGCUCGCGCAGCAAGCGAGCGUUGUCAGUUGUGGCACUUAGCAGGACAGCAAUGGCGUCAGCCAAAGAAGGUGGAGCAGGUGGAGGGUUGGGGAUAUCAUCCCCUCCCUGGGAUGUCCCAGCCCCAUCGGAUCCGCGAGUACGCAUCGGCAUCUGUUACAAGAAUCGUAGAUACCUGUUACCACGUAAGAUUCAUAACACAGAACAUAUCUUCCAUUCACUUAUUAAACAUUAGUUAGAUACACACCAAGAGUAAACAAGUACAACUUUUCAAACCAAAAGAGAACUUAUAUUACAAACCCGAACCCCACUAUGGCAAGCUAAGACCCCUACAACGACGUUGCCCUCGGUUUCACCGAACUAAUCGGUGUGGCCAGAGCUGUAGCCCGGGUCGUCAUUGCCAUCAUCUUGAUUACCCCCUGGGUUGUGGUCAUCGGGGUCGGACUCCUCUUCAUCACUGAGGCCUGGAUCGGGUUCUCCAUCGUCUGCCAACUCGCCAUCCGUAUCCAUUUCUCCUUCGCCGGGAGGUGGAUGGAGUUGAUGAUACAGAUUAAAUGCAAUAUCACGAUACUGCAUAGCCAAGUCAUUGACUGUAUCCAAGUGAUGUGCCAGCUCCAGUUUCUCCAGCUGGAGCUGGUCCUCUCGUUGCCACGCGACAUCCCGUUGUGCGGUGACCGUGGCCGCCAUCUUCACAUACAAAUCCUUAAGAUACUUUGCCUUGCCCAACUUUGCGUUCAUCCUAGUUAGCUCAUGCCUAUGGGUGCUCCUAGCUUCUUCCUCUCGGGCAAUGGCUGCAUUCCGCUCCUCCACCAUCCGGGACAACAUAGCUUCACAAUUUUCUGUAGCUUGUUUUUCUUUGGCCAGUUGAGCUUUAAGUUUGCCAAUCUCCAUAACAUUGUACAUUCUCUCUCUCAUCACCUCAGUCAACUCGGCGGACAACCUGUCCACCUCCUGCUGAGGCGGUGAACGGCUACUACUGGCUUGAUCACUGCGUGGAGCUAGCUGAUGUCGGGGAACUCCUUUUGGACCAGUCCGCUUACGCGGGGUCUGCUUCUGACGAGCCAUCCUGUAGAGGGUAAGUUUAGAUGAAUAAGAGAGACCUUAAAGGUUAGCAAGAAUAGGAUUGAUUCUAUUCACCCAACCCAACAAGGAGGAAGGAACUUAACCAGUUAAUACAUCAUGAUGCAUGCACGAACUUACGAUUCCUACUAACAAUUCGUAACAACAGUACCUUAAAUUUUUACAACAUAGGGCAAUACUUUAGGUUGCUCCUCCAUACCACUUCAAAAAUUCUCAGAAAGCCUAUAGACAGGGGUAGAUUAGGACUAAGCACUUGGACUCAAAAUAGGCAGGUUCAUAAUAUUAGUUCCAAACGAAUUUUUGAAGUUUUUCAAAAGGUUCAGCAGUCAUCUUAGCAACGAAUGCUCUGAUACCAGCCGUGGCAGAACCUCCUAAGUGUUUGGGCCCACCGACACCUGCCAUUGUCCUAAGGACCUCUGACGGUGAUGCCGGGAGUCCUCCCACUUUAGAAGUCCGAUGAGCAUUGCUGGGCGCUCAUUCCACUGCUACCUGUGGCGUACCAAGCUGGCUCGUCCUGACCACUGGUAAUGGUCAAACAACGAGAACUGUUUCUUCUCGCCCUUACAGGAUAGCAAGUGGCCACUUUAACACCAGGAUCAUUCGUUGCGAAGAUAAAGCAGUAACUCAACAACACAAGACCAAAAUAAUAUUUCAGAGUGAAACAGCGGAAGUAUUACAUAACUUAAUUUACAAAAGGAGUUCUUCCAAAUAGUAGAGUGUUAUUACAAGCCUGGUCCAGCGGAGCAACUGAAACUUUAGUAUAGACAGAACAAAAUUACAGACCCUGCCCAUGGGUCACGCUCACUCUUCUUCGUCGUCGACCUCAACGACGGUCACACAACAGGGUCCGAAACAAGUCGGCUCCUGAGCUUCACCUGCAACAGGGGUAUUGAAACCCUGAGUACGGGAGUACUCAACAAGACUUAUCCGACGGGAAAAGAGGAGAAUUUAGGGAUGCAGGCUUAGGGUAGACAAGGGGUGGCUGAGCAAGGAGCCAAAGUGUUUUGCGUAAAAGCUUACUAGUAGUGCAUCCUUAUUUUCAAGUUUUAUCCCGAAUUCCUCCCUCGCAGAGGCAGAGGAAUUCGAGGAUAGUCUAACUGGUUGUUCCCCACAGACGAAUCCGUGAGUUCCUAGUCCUAUCAUUAAGUAUUAUUUAUCGAUGGCCAUAGCUUCAUGUCGCUAUGAGUCCGGGAAUUGGGAUCCGAACCUCAUGAGACAUUUUCCCCUUUCUCAUUAUAUCACUUAGUUGCAUAUUUAACUACGAUGAGGGUCGAAGGAAUUGAGUCUCCCAAUCGGGGAGCAACGACGAUUCGAAUCGCUUAGCAAUCCAGCUGGAGUUCCUAACCACCCGACAUAUGUGGAACCAAAUCUUGCAUAUAUCAACCCGAAUCAAGCUCUCCCCAAAUUUGACCAGGUUCGCGGCACCCGAGAGCACAGUACUCCACCAUCCUACAGCCGAUCUAGAUGUUUUCCGGUCAUCUCAGAUCCGUAAGGUGGGCACACGUUACUCUCGCCAUCUUUCCACUCCCAGUGCGCGAGUAGCUGUUCGCGUCGAGGGAUUACAAGAUCGGGCUUACCGAGGGCAAGUGGCUAGUACUAUAAAUUCUCAACCCAGCAGGCCAUCAACGGACCGGUCCUUAAUCGACACAGUUGGAGACACUACUUUAAGACUCCAUUCUUAAAGCAAGUCCACCGACCGGUCUCAACUUAAAACAUCAUUGAUCAUAAGUGUAUCCCACAACAACCCUUCAAUCUUUCUUGUUUAAAAACCUAUCUAGUAGCAGGGCUAAGCAUCGCUACGCAGUUUUAAAAUAAAACAGGUGUCAAGGACAGGAUACAGAUAUCAAGGUAGUAAAUGCAGCAAGUAGGUUAACCCAAUUCUCAACUACCUAAUGCAGCAUUUUCAAUUCAUAAGUGACAAAAGGUUUAAAACAUCCAAGCAGGGGUUAAUGCAUCCGGGGCUUGCCUUGGUUGCAGGGCAGAGAGGGACCCUCGGAGACUUCCCAAGUCUCGGAUCCGACUUCCUCGAACGGAGCACCGACCUCGGGGUUCGGUUCAACGGGCGCUCCUUCGGUCACGGACACUAUACGCAAAAUGAUGAAUGCUUAUGAUAUGCGUAUGGCAAUUAUGCAAGAUGGACCGAAUUAAGUACGAUUUGCCUUUUUAAUGCAAUACAGAAUUGUCACUAAAUAAAGUUGUUUACAAUUUACUGUUUUUACCCAAGAGAUUGCAUCAGUAAAUUAAAACUCCUUUUAAUUCCUAAUUAUCCUGAAUUAACUAAUUAUUAAUCCUAUUUACCUUAAUCAAUUCUUAAUUAACUACUAAUGACAGUAAUUAAGCAUUAAAGCUGAACAACAAUUAAAUGCCAAAGGUCAUUAGGGUUAAUGACCUCAGGUCAUCACAUAAUCCAAAAUCACUCAACCCUAAUUAUGAGGACCUAAAUAAUCACUAUUUAAUUAUUUUGGAAUUAUUACUUAAGUGUUAAAUAAGGGUUUAUUAAUAUUUUAAACAAACAUUAUCCAAAUGCCACCAAAUUUUGUGGGGAGCCAGGGAACAAUAUUCAGAGGCAUCUCACAAUUUUUGGUGAUUUUUGGACAUACUAACAAAUUAUUAAAAAUCAUACAAGUUUUAUUUGCUAAUUAAAAGGGCCAAUUUUUGUAGACAUGUAAACUACCAAAAAAAAUCCACUAUUUUUCUUGGGUUCUACUUAUUUCAGAGAAUCUACACAAAAAUUUCCAUGAUUUUUGCAUUAACACACGAAUUAUUACACAAAUUCAAACAUUCAGCAAAAAUUGCAUAAAAGGAAAAAGGAAAAGAUUUUUCGCGCGGCGGGCGGCCUGGAACUUGGCCCGCAAGCCGGCCCACGCGCGCUCGGCCUGCUCACGCGCCGCGUAGACGGCCUGCGUGGACACGGUCCACUCUGGCCCGAGCGCUUCCCGCGCCAGCGCCCUCUCCCUCUCUCUCUCACGCGGUCGCUGACGGGCGGGUCCCGCCCGUCAGCUCCGUCUCCUUCCUAGCGCCGCGGCUCCGGCGAGCUCCAGUGAGCCGUCGGCGAGCUCUCGGCCUUCGCGGCGAGACGUGUUAGCUUCCUCGACCUCCCGUGCACCCAGGGACACCCUUUUCUCCCACUCUCCUCUAUCCUAACCCCUGUGACCACGGGCACGGCGGACGGCCGCCUCAGCCGAGCAGACGCCGGCCACUACGAGCGAGUAGAGCGUGACUUGAACAGCGCAAAAGCACCAGGGGCUCACCGCGACUUCAACCGAACAAGAAGCGACAGCGGAGAGGCUCUGGUUGACGCUGGCCACGGUGACGUGCUUGCGGUGGCGCUCGGCCGGAGUUGGGGGAGAAACGGCUCGGGUGGAAGCUACGGUAGGAUAGAGCGUGUGUUUGGGGGCGCAAUCGGUGGCGGGGCUCACGGCGGAGCUGCUGGGGUGCUCAGGUGGCUUGGAACGGCAGCGAGUGAGGCGAAUUGGAGAGGCGCAGGGAGCUCGUCGGCGUCGGGGUUCAAGAAAAGGAAGAGGGGACUCUGGCCACUCGGGGCUUUAUCCCCACAACGGAAGGCGAUUCGCGGAUGAGGACGUCCACGCGAAGCACAGCAGCAAGCAGCUGCGUGGCCAGCUGCGUGGCGGCGCGCGCGGAGGCGGCUCUGCCCCGGCGGCAGAGCACCCCCCCUGCCGAUCACUGUAGCCGGCCUCAUCCACUCAGUUUGUCUUUUUGUGAAAUCCGACCAAAAUUUGAACUAAAGUCAAAUUUCCACCAAAACAAAAGUUGUGCCAAAUUUUGUAAGCUACAAAUCAUAUUUAGGUGUCCCAAGCUGAUUCUCAAUGGAUCAAGGGUAAUUUUGCCAAACAGUUUGAAAAUCAAACUCAAAUCAAAGAAAUUCCAAAUUUUUGAAUUGGGGCAAAACAGAAUUUCCAGAAUUACUUUUGAUUUUGUAUAACAACUUGAAAAACUCCCAACAUGAAAGUUUCUCAACUUUUUGUGCUCUACAACUUUCAUGUUGACCACUUUUUCAAAAUUCCAAAUGGAUUUUGAAUUGGGGAUUUAAGUUGGAAAAGGGGACACUUUCUGGAAAUCUGUAUUUUCAAAAUUACUUUGAAUUUUGUAUUGAAACUUCAAAAACUCAAAACACCAAAGUUGUACAUCUUGCCAAGAGCUACAACUUUGCUUUUGAACUCAACCUCAAAUUCUGCUUAGUUUUUGACUUAAGCAAAAGGGGACAAAUCUAGGAUCCAGAAAUCAGGGUUUUCCCCCCCCUUAGCUUCUCGGAAAACUUCCACCCUAGGGUUUUAGCAACCACACAAGCAACAACACACCACAGAAGCACACUCUACUUCCCUAAGCUCAAGCAAUCAAAGUAAACUUAUUUUAAGUUGAUGCAUACUAAUGUGCUUUAACAAUUAUGCUUUGCAAUGCUUAUGAUGACAUGAUCCGUUUUUAGUAACCGUAACAUCAGGGAUGUUACAGCUAGUGUCGAGGGUAUCAACAAGGGGUACCCUCACCAAUGCGUAUAACCAGGCCAUCCGUACGCACGCGCGGCCAUCGACGGUCGCAGCCUCGAAGACGGAAAUGCCGUCGAGCGAAUUGGUCAAGGCUCGAGCGACCACUGCCGUCGAAUACGGAAACGGGCUCGAGCGAACCGAGAGGCAUCGAGCGCAAGGACACUGUCCGCCGCCUGACGCGCGCACGGGAGCCAGGGCAUUUAAUGCGCCUGACGCUUCCCCACCUAACACACGGGUCACGGGAGGCUUCUGUCCCAUCGUUCUUUUUGCAGCCUUCCCACCGAACGAUCAGGGGCGUGUCAGGACGCAGGGAACAAGGAUGGAACGUCUAAUCGGGACCCCCUCGAGACCUCCAAGGUCAGCGCUCCAGAUAUCAGCACAUUACACGGCGUCCGACCCUCGACCGAACAGGGUCCCUUCCUAGGGGCAAGUUGGGCGUCGACUGACAACACCACAGCUACCCCGCCGGAUCCGCCGCCAUACCGUACCGGCAUGCGACCUCAGAACCAGCGCGAGGCGGCGGGCAGGGCCGAACGCAGGAGCACGCGUAAUCAUCACCGGGCUAUCAAGAUGGGACGGCUCGAGGCCAUGCCGUACGGAAGCCUCGAGUAGGUCAGCGCUCCAUGCGGCUAUCGACCCCUACUCUAGCGUCUACGCAUGUACCCUGGGUCUCUCCUUGGAGCUAUAAAAGGAGAGACUCAGGAAUAGAACGGGAGGACGAAAACAAGAAGACAAGUCCACGCUCAUGCGUAGUAGAGCUUCACACUUCAUACCACGCUUGUAUUUGCCCCUGUACAAGCACUUAGGUGCAAGAUAAUACGAACUCUCUCCCCCCGCUGGACGUAGGGCCUUCUCUUGCCCGAACCAGGAUAAAUCUCUGUGUCUUCUUGCAUCACCAUCCGGGAAAGGGAGCACGCAUACAAAUUUACUCGUUGGUGUGACCCCCCCCCCCGAGGGAAAACACCGACAGUUGGCGCGCCAGGUAGGGGUCCUGCGUGUUUUUUCAUCGACUUCCCACUCCUUUCCGGAUGGCUACUCUUGCCUUCGCCGUUUCCGCGCUCCACGGUAAUUUGGUUUGGGAGCCUCGAGUUCAUGUCUACGGGCUCCGGCUACGACAUGAUCUUGCUCUCAGUCAAAGGACCAGGAGGAGCCCGCGUUACGCCAGCACGGUUGAAGGCCCCGAGACGCCCUCACCACCACGCCUCCCCGCCUAAGAAGAGGCGCGGACAGCACCACCGCGGCCCCUCUGCUUCAGCACGACCAACAACUCGUGCGAGGCAGGGCGUAGGCCACAAGUCGGCGGCACCGUGGGACGGAGCAACAAGCGCGACGACUCAGCACCGCGCGACGACGGGAGGUGACACGUCUCGCGCGCUCUCCCCCACCGCUGCUAGGCUACUUCCACACGGGUUGUUCACUCCAAGAGCGGCACUGCCGUUCGGAUUGGACAACGCCGCGGCGUCGCUCGCCAGGACGAUAUGCCCAAACGCCCAGACGUACGUAGAAAGACCAAUGGUCCUCCCACGUAGCUCUGAAGCGCGGCAGUCGGCGUUCGAGCUGCCGGACCUUUCCCGAGUACAAGGCCUCCGUCGUCUAGGCCCCGGACGAUACUCGAUCACCUCCCUCAGGCAACGAUUGCUGGAGGAAGGACGUGGGUGUUUCUACGCCUCCGAACCGGACUCCGACUCCGAGACGGACAGCUAUGACCCUACGAGGGAAUGCUAUCACAUUGACGGGGCGGUAGAAACUACUGACGAGACCCGGGAUGCUGCUGCGGGAGGUCGAGCCCCCGCGGCGCGAGAAGACCCCAGGACGCCUGGGAACGACGGACAGGUCGACCCCCCUCAUCAUGAAGACAGAACCGCGCAGCUCGCGCAGCUGCGGGAGCUCAAGAUGAAGCUCGACGAAGACCGCGAGCGCCUCGUCCUGCUCGAGCAAAUCCUCGAGCAAGACCUGCCCUACCCGCCGGGCGGAAGUGUCCGCAGACGCGCUCGAGAGGUACAUCGACAGAUCGUCGGCGACUCAGAGCCAGAGCAACCUGUCGGUCGUUUCCCUCGAGCAGGCCAGAAUGUAGUGGCAGCGACGAUGCUGCUACGUAACAUGCCAGAGCCGUCGAAUUCCCAGGCCCGAUGCAUUCGAGAUGAGGUACAGACAUUGCUCCAGGUGGCGGCGGUUCAACAAGCCGAAAGUUCGGCGUCUCGACAGCGAGGAGCUGCCACAGAGAAGCGCGACGAACAGCCUCUAAACGAAGAGGAGGUGUCAGUCCAACAACAACCUCCCCCUCGAGGUAGAAAGACCGCUCUCAUCCUCCCCGUCGACGGUCAACAUCGACACGACGCGCGGCACGACAUCAAAGAAAAUCGACGCCGCCGGCACGGAGACGCGGAAGAGCGCGGUUAUAGCGCGCAUCGCGGUGGGAGAUACGACAGCGACGAGGACCGGGUGGCCCCCGAGCCACCAGGCCCACGGGUGUUCAGUAGGGCGAUCCGCAGCACGCCCCUGCCCAAUCCAUUUCGACCCCCGACCAGCAUCGCGAAGUAUAAUGGAGAGACCAAACCAGAGUUGUGGCUGGCCGACUUCAGGCUGGCCUGUCAGCUAGGUGGCGCUCGAGGUGAUGAUCGAGCCAUCAUCAGACAGCUACCCCUUUUCCUCUCUGACACCGCCCGUCGAUGGCUCGAGGAACUCCCCGCCAAUCAGAUCCACAACUGGGUUGAUCUGGUCAGAGUCUUCGAGGGUAACUUCAAAGGGACCUACAUACGACCAGGGAACUCAUGGGACCUCAGCAAGUGCAAGCAGAAGUCAGGAGAAACUCUUCGGGAGUAUGCUCGGCGCUUCUCGAAGCAGCGCACUGAGCUGCCGCACAUCCCUGACCACGACGUCAUCUUGGCGUUUGUCUCGGGCACCACCAGUCGAGACUUGGUGCGGGAAUUAGGUCGCAAUCGACCUCAGACCGUCGACGAGCUGAUGGACGUAGUAGCCAACUACGCGGCAGGGGAGGAGGCAGUCGGCACCUUCUUCAGCUCAGAAGGAAGGAAAGGCAAGCAGCCCAUCAACGAAGAUGGGACCCCCAGUCGAGGCCUCAAGAAAAACAAAAAGAAGCAAAAAGUGCGGCAGUUCCACCGGGAAGAUUCCGAUGACAACCUUGUCGCCGCCAUGGAUCGAAAGAAGCCUCGAGGCCCUCCGGAUGGAGGCAUCUUUGACAAGAUGUUGGAGGAGCCGUGCCCUUACCAUAAGGGAGGCGCCAACCACAAGCUCAAGGACUGUCGUAUGCUGAGAAAGCAUUUCGACGGUCAGGGGUUCAAAAAAGAUACGUGUGAUGACUCCAAGAAAGAGAAGGCUGGCAGCAAGGAGGACAACAAAGAUGACGACGGCUUCCCCGCCGUCCACGACUGCUACAUGAUCUAUGGCGGGCCCUCGACCCAGUUGACCACGAGGCAGCACAAAAGGGAGCGUCGCGAAGUCUUUGCAGCAAGAAUGGCGGUGCCCCAAUACCUUAGCUGGUCAAGCACUCCUAUCACUUUCGACCGAGAAGACCACCCCGACAAGGUACUCGCCCCAGGCGUCUACCCGCUCGUCGUCGACCCCAUCAUCGUCAACACCCGGCUCUCGAAAGUGCUAAUGGACGGCGGUAGCAGCCUCAACAUCAUCUACCUCGAGACCCUUGACCUCCUCGGCAUAGAUAGAGGGAAGCUCCAACCAAGUGCCGGCGGGUUCCAUGGCGUCGUGCCAGGAAAAAAGGCGCUGCCAGUAGGUCGAAUUGACUUACCGGUCUGCUUCGGCACGGCGGCCAACUUCAGGAAGGAGACCCUCACCUUCGAGGUGGUUGGGUUUCGAGGCACGUACCACGCCAUCAUCGGGCGCCCGGGCUACGCCAAGUUCAUGGCUAUACCCAACUACACCUACUUGAAGCUGAAGAUGCCCGGUCCCAAAGGUGUCAUCACUGUCAGUUCCUCCUUCGAGCACGCGUACGAGUGCGACGUCGAGUGCGUCGAGUACGGGGAGGUGGUCGAGAACUCCACCGAGCUCGUCGCGAAGCUCGAGGCCCUGGCCGCUGAGGCUCUAGAGCCUAAGCGCCACGCGGGCAGCUUCGAGGCGGCGGAAGGAACCAAGAAGAUCCCGCUCGACCCCAACAGCUCCGACGGCAAAGUACUGACGAUCAGCACCGACCUCGACCCCAAAUAGGAAGCGGUGCUCGUCGACUUUCUCCGUGCAAAUGCCGACAUGUUUGCAUGGAGUCCCUCGGACAUGCCAGGCAUACUGAGGGAAGUCGCCGAGCACUCCUUGGAGAUUCGAGCCGGUUCCAAGCCAGUGAAGCAGCGGUUGCGUCAAUUCGACGAGGAGAAGCGCAAGAUCAUUGGCGAGGAAGUCCACAAGCUUUUGACGGCCGGAUUCAUCAAGGAGGUUCAUCAUCCUGACUGGUUAGCAAACCCUGUAUUAGUUAAGAAAAAGAAUGGGAAAAUGAGGAUGUGUGUCGAUUAUACUAGUCUGAAUAAAGCAUGUCCGAAAGUUCCCUUUCCAUUGCCACGCAUUGAUCAGAUUGUCGAUUCUACCGCGGGAUGUGAAACCCUUUCUUUCCUUGAUGCAUAUUCUGGUUACCACCAAAUAAAAAUGAAGGAGUCCGACCAGCUCGCGACCUCUUUCAUCACGCCUUUUGGGAUGUAUUGCUAUGUGACCAUGCCAUUCGGGCUUCGAAACGCGGGAGCCACGUAUCAACGUUGCAUGCUCCACAUGUUUGGCGAACAUAUAGGGUCCACGGUCGAGGCCUACGUCGACGACAUUGUCGUCAAGUCAAAGCGACGAGGAGACCUAAUCCAGGACCUCGAGAUUGCCUUUAGCUGCCUACGCACCAGCCGGAUCAAGCUCAAUCCCGAGAAGUGCGUUUUCGGUGUGCCUCGAGGCAUGCUCCUAGGUUACAUCGUUUCGCAGCGCGGCAUCGAGGCCAACCCCAAGAAAGUCUCGGCCAUCACGAAAAUGGGGCCGAUCCGAGACAUCAAGGGUGUACAGAGAGUCACGGGGUGCCUGGCGGCUCUGAGCCGUUUCAUCUCGAGACUAGGAGAAAAGGCAUUUCCAUUAUAUCGACUCCUAAAGAAGGUCGAGCGUUUUUCUUGGACCCCCGAGGCCGAGGAAGCACUCGAAAGGCUGAAGAAGACGUUGACCUCGGCCCCAGUCCUGGUUCCACCUCAACCUGCAGAGCCGCUGCUCCUCUACGUCGCAUCGACGACCCAGGUCAUCAGCGCGGCGGUGGUGGUCGAAAGACAAGAGGAGGGUCAUGCGCUGCCGGUCCAAAGGCCAGUCUAUUUCGUCAGCGGAGACCAAGAUGCGUUAUCCCCAAAUCCAGAAGCUGAUCUACGCCGUAAUCCUUGCCCGCCGCAAGCUGCAGCAUUACUUCCUCGGUCACCCCAUCACGGUGGUUUCGUCUUUCCCUUUAGGAGAAAUAAUCCAGAGCAAAGAGGCCACGGGAAGAAUAGCAAAAUGGUCGGUCGAGCUCAUGAGUGAGACUCUCACUUACACGCCUCGGAAGGCCAUCAAAUCGCAAGCCCUGGUAGACUUCGUCGCGGAAUGGACGGACUCCCAGCUUCCCCCGACUCAGGUCCAGGCGGAGCUGUGGACAAUGUAUUUCGACGGGUCACUCAUGAAAACUGGGGCCGGGGCCGGCCUGCUGUUCAUCUCACCCUUAGGCGUCCACAUGAGGUAUGUAAUCAGGAUUCAUUUUGCCGCAUCUAACAAUGUCGCAGAAUAUGAGGCCCUGGUCAACGGUCUCAAGAUCGCUAUCGAGUUAGGAGUCCGACGCCUCGACGUCCGAGGUGACUCCCAACUCGUCAUCGACCAAGUAAUGAAAACCUCGAGCUGCCACGACCCAAAAAUGGAAGCGUACUGCAAGGAGCUCCGCCGACUCGAAGACAGGUUCCACGGUCUCGAGCUUGUCCAUGUCGCUCGACGCUACAACGAGGCAGCCGACGAACUCGCCAAGAUCGCAUCGACCAGAGGCACGGUGCCGCCUGAUGCAUUCUCAAAAGAUCUUCAUGAGCCAUCCGUCGACCUAGGCACGGGGGCUGGCGUCGACGCCACCACCGCCCAACCAGCCAACGCUGUCGAUACGCUCUUGAUGGUGGAAGAAAUGAUGGGGAUAGAACGACGACCAGGUCGACCAUUCGAUUGGCGCACACCGUUCCUCGACUGCCUUAUCCGCGGCGAAUUGCCAGAAGACAAGUCAGAAGCUCGUCGUAAGGCUCGGCGGGCCAAAUCAUAUGUGAUCUAUGGCGAAGACAACGAGCUAUAUCGACGGAGCCCGACGGGGGUCUUGCAACGUUGCAUCACUGUGGAAGAAGGCCGAAAACUCCUCGAUGACCUGCACUCGGGGGCUUGCGGUCACCACGCCGCUCCACGGACCCUUGUAGGGAACGCUUUUCGACAAGGCUUCUACUGGCCAACGGCCGUGGCGGACGCCAUCGAGCUCGUAAGAUCAUGUCACGGGUGUCAGUUCUACGCCAAGCAGACGCAUCUGCCUGCCCACGCUCUUCAGAUGAUCCCCAUUACCUGGCCGUUUGCGGUGUGGGGGCUCGAUUUAGUAGGACCUCUGCAAAAGGCAAAAGGAGGAUUCACCCAUUCGCUGGUGGCCAUUGACAAGUUCUCCAAAUGGAUCGAGGCUCGACCCAUCACCAACAUCCGCUCCGAGCAGGUCGUCCUUUUCUUUACCGACAUUAUCCAUCGGUUUGGGAUCCCCAAUGUCAUCAUCACCGACAACGGCACCCAGUUCACCGGCAAAAAGUUCUUGGACUUCUGCGAUCGGCAUCACAUCCGUGUGAACUGGUCUGCAGUCGCCCACCCUCGAACUAACGGCCAAGUCGAGCGUGCCAACGGCAUGAUUUUGCAAGGACUCAAGCCAAGGAUCUACAAUCGAUUGAAGAAAUUCGGCAAAAAAUGGGUCGAGGAGCUUUCCUCAGUCCUAUGGAGCCUUAGGACAACACCAAGCAGGGCCACAAAAUACACCCCGUUCUUCAUGGUCUACGGCUCUGAGGCCAUCCUCCCCACAGACCUCGAGUAUGGCUCACCUCGACUCAAGGCCUACAACGAGCAAUCGAACAAAGAGACUCAAGAAAACGCGGUCGACCAACUUGAGGAGGCUAGAGACAUGGCCCUCCUCAACUCUGCUAGAUAUCAGCAAAGGCUUCAACGCUACCACGACAAGCAUGUGCGCAAGAGGGACCUCAACGUGGGCGACCUAGUCCUACGACGCCGGCAAAGCAAUCAGGGACGCCACAAGCUGACCCCGCCUUGGGAAGGUCCGUACGUGGUAGCCGAGGUCCUGAAGCCGGGAACGUACAAGCUGGCGGACGAAAAAGGGGCAAUUCUCACCAACGCAUGGAACAUCGAACAGCUACGUCGAUUCUACCCCUAGAAGUUCUAAACUUAUGUUCCUGCUUACGUUUUGUACCAAGACUUUGUAAACGAAUGAAUGAAUAAAUAAAGUCUUUCCCUCGAAACAAUUCUUCUUUCUUUGCGCCGAGAAGAUUAAUAAAUCACGAUCUCGACGUUAGAAGGGGGCACCGACUAUGACCCAUCAUAGUCAGCACCCCCUCGGGGGCUACCAGGGGGACGACACCCCCCCCCCCGAGUAUCGAAAAAACCGAGAAGUUUUCUUUUCUUACGUAGUAAACCUUGCACGGUUCAAGUUGCUAAGGCACCUCGAGCCCCUCAAAGGCCGAGGGACAACGAGCUGGAGAUUUCCUAUGCCCUCGGGCUACGGAAACUCUACUCGCUUCCCCACCAUUGAAGUGAUCGAGAUGAUCUUUUACGAAAAAUCGAGCAAGGGAUACAAACGUAGGCUCAAAGAGAGACGAAAGCAUCAAGCGGAAAGACAAAAUAAGCAUCUGACAAUUACGAAAGUGAUAUAGCAUCAGUUAACCACAGAAUUCACAAAGUAUUGUACAAGGGGCCUCAGGCGCCCUAAGCAGGCUCGCAGGCCUUAGUCCGCAGCACGAUCCUCACCGCCCUCGCCUCCGCCCGAGCUAGCCUCAGGAGGGAGCACCUCAGGCUCGAAAAGCUUGGCCAACCUUUCCCCAGGAGCCUCCGCGUCGUCGAUCAAGGCAUGGAGCCUCUCCUCGUUCUCCGCGUCGGUCUUGGAGAUGUCGGUGACGAAGCCAUGGGACACCACCUCCAUGUCGUAGCAGAAGCCCGAGCAGACAACCGCCAUCGCCCGCUUCACCCCGAUGUGGAGGGCGUCCCGCACCCGAUCUCGCAGCGUCGCGCCUAUGUAGCACAACUGGUCGACCAGGGCAUCGCCUCGAGUGUCCUCCCUCGACUCAUCCAUAGGCUCGACCUCCCAAGAGGUCGAGAGAUCACUUAUCGCCGUCCGUACUCGACGGUUCAAAGCAACCUCCGCCUCGAGCUGAGCCUUGGCGUUGCGAGCCUCGGCUUGGGCGGCCAGGAGCUCGUCCUUGAGCCCUGUAAAAGCCAAUAUAAAGAGACCUUAGGAAAAACUAAGCACACCUCGGAAAAAGAAAUCUGAUAGAGGAAACAUACCGCGUACGGUCUCCUCGAGGGCCGUGUUCUCGCCAACCAGCCUGGUGUUGGCCCCCUCGAUCUCUUUGUUGGAGCGUGCCAGCUCGGUGUUGGCAACGCGGAGAUCCUCGAUCGCCUUGCCAGCCUGAGCAAUGGCCCCACUCUUCUCCAGCAAUUCUCCCUUCAGACGCUCGACGUCGUUAGAGAGACUGCGGGAUCGAGCCCGCUCCGCCUCGAGAUCUUCGAGGGCCUUCUUCUUGGCUUCGUCCGCGGCGCCCCUGGCGACCUCGCCGUUCACGUGCUCCACCUUCAUCUUUCGGAAGGACUCUCGGAGAGAGUCCAGGUCGGAUUUAAGGAGGCCCUUCUCCUUGUCCAGAUCCGCGAUAACGCUCUUGUAGGACAGGGCCUCCUCCCGGGCUCUGGACGCGGCUUCCUCGACCGUAAGAGCCCGCUCCCGUAGCUGCAUCGUCUCCUCCUCCGCCUUCUUCGAGGCUUCUCGGGCCUCGGCCAAGGCAGCCUCCCUCGCCUUCUUCUCCUCCUCGAGUGCUAUGAGAUCCUUAUAAGCUUUAAGGAGCUUUUCCUGCGACUCGAGGAGUUGAUCCUUGAGGAGGGGAAGCUGCUCCCAGCCGCCUCUCGUGGCGUGUAUGAAACUGGACUUGAUGCGGGAGGUCUCUUUCAUGUCCUGCGAACCAAGGGUUGAAUGGUUAGAACACGAAAACCAAAAGGCACCACAAGGAUUGAAGUUCGAAAAGCACUUACGAAAUAAGCCGGGCCGAGCCCGUUGUUGAUAACGUCUGAGAGGAGCCCCACCACAUGCUUCAUCCAAAGGCGGAGCUCCUCGACGUGCUCCCACUUCUCUGCCUCCUUCCGAUCGUCCAGAAAGAUGUUAGGCUCGGACGGGUCGUGGGAGGCCCGGAUGCGGAUCCGAUCGGGGCACCAGUGCUCCAUCUCCCGGUCGGCCCGUGCCUUGACACCACGGAUGAGAUUCUCGACGGUCUCGAGGGAGCCCCCAUGGCGCAGGAACAGGUCGACGAGGCAUGGGAACCGCCCGUCGUCGUCCACCGUCUUCCAGGUACCGUCCUUGGUCCCCGACGUCCCGAUUUCAUCCUCCUCGGAGGGAAAGCGGUCCUCCCAUGCCCGACGCUCCCGGAGGAACCCUGGGGCGAUCCCGUCCAUGCCGUAGAUCGUCCGCUUGAUCUCGGACUCAGGGUCGGUGGGGGUGCGCAUCAUGCAGGCGAGAGCGCCACCACUCCAUCCGCACGCCCCGGCUCUGCCCGGAUCGCGGCGGGUGCCCCCGGGAGGAGCCACGCUGGGGUCGGGGGGCCGUACACCGGCAAAUCCUCUUCUUGUUCGCCGGGCCCUUGCGGCUCCGGUAGCACUGGCUGGGCCGAACCUUGGGGCGGAGGCUCUAGCGGUCCCUCCUCUUGACCCGCCUGCCGCUGCUGCAGUUGCUGCUGCGGUGGUUGCUGCUGUUGUUGCUGCUGCAGUUGCUGCUGCGGUGUUUGCUGCUGUUGUUGCUGCUGCAGUUGCUGCUGCGGUGGUUGCUGCUACUGUUGCUGUUGCUGCUGCUGCUGUUGUUGUUGCUGCUGUUGCUGCGCCUCAUGCUCUUGUGACCGCCGCGCCGCCUCGUGCUCCCGCUGUUCAUCCUCCUCCCUCUUCUUCCUCAGCUCCUCGAGGGUGCGGAGGCCGGCGGGCCAGGGAGUCGAUCCCGCGACGUUAGGGGUCGACGCUUCCUCCUCCAUAGGGCGAGCGCCCCCAGACGCUUCGUUACCAUCGGACGUAUCGCUGAUGGUGAUGGGUUCCCCCUCGACCCCCAAUCGGGGGGGCUCGGGGGCUCCCUCUGACGCUUGCGUCUGGGGCGCCUCAUCACGAGUCGGCGGCAACGGAGUAGGCGCGGGACGAGGCGGAGCCCUCUCGACGCCGGCUGGAGGUUGGGAGCUGGAGGAGCCUACGAAACAAAGGGUAAGGGUCAGACGUUAUGAUAACCGACACAAGAACAUCGCAACGCCCAGAAAUAAACUACGAACCAGGUUCCUUGGAGGCGGCACCCGUUCUGAGCUUCUUUGCCAUGGACGGUUGGGCCUGCUCAAGGGUCCGCUUCAGCCUGAGAAAAGGUUGGCAUAUGAGGAAAGGUGGAAGAAUGGGAAGACAAAAACCGCAACAUCAAAAAGGCUUACCCCACAGGGAGAACGGCUCGCCUUCCGCCACCCCGACCAGUGGGCCUCGAGCCACCCCGCGUCGGGGCUCCAGGCCCCUCGAGGGCAGGCACUGGCUUAGGCGCGUUGGUCCCCGCCUGGCGGGCGCCGGGACUGGCGCUCCUACGGCCGGCAUCUCCUUUCUCAGAGGCCGCGGCGCGACCACGAGUUAGUGGCCCCGACGCCUGGGGCCUAGCCAGACUGCUCUCCCUGGGCACCGGGGGAGGGCGCGGUGCGUCUUGGCCCGCCUUGGGCGCAGGAGGGGUGUCGGCCCGGGGGCGACGAGAUCCACUCGGACCCUCCUCUGGCGCCUCCGUCCGGGGGGCGUCGACGUCACCUCGAGGCGGGCCCUCGAGAAUCCGAUCGAGGCGCGACGCCAUCCCCUCGGAAUCGUCGCUGUCCUCGUCAUCAUCGUCAUCAUCGUUAGGGGAUUCCUCCUCAGGCUCCCCCCUCUGCCUGGAUUUGGCUCGACGCGCCUCUAAUGCUUGGCGGUCGAGGUUUUUCUUCUUCUCCCCCUUCUUUGCAGAGUCCUUCGCAGACUUUAGCUUUUCGGCAGAUUGGCGCCGUUUGUCACGAUCGACCUCGUCCUCCUUUACCGGAGGCCUCGAGGACCGGACAUCAAUCCGACCCUGCCAAAACUAAGGUAGACUUAGAAAAAAGAGAGGGGAGAAAGGAAACCCAGAAUCGAGGCUGCACGCAAAAAGAAGGCGUACCAGAUCGAUCGAGCCUGCGUCAGGUCUCAUGGGGAAGCCGUUAACAUGCUCCGGCUGAAAAUCACCGGCAAUUGCAGCCCUGACUUAGGCCGCGACUUCGUCGUCCACCGGAGCCUCGUUGGACAUCCGACACGCCUCAAGGUCCCGAGAUGAGACACCAGGGCCCAUCUCGUCCAUCCUCAACGGUCGAGACAUCAAAGGGAGAACUCUCCAGUGAUGGACGGCCGAGAGGACGAGAGCGGCGGUCAAACCCUCCUGGCGAAGCUUCUUCAGGGCGUCGAGGAGGGGGUCGAGCCGAGGUUGAUGAGCUUGGACGACGCCGUAUGUCCAAUCCGCUGGACGCUCCAUGAUCAGACGGCCCGAGUAGGAAGGCAGGAGAUUGUCAUCGUUCCGCAGAUAAAACCACUGGGAGUCCCAGCCGGCGUGGUUGGUCGAUAACCCUACCGGGAUGUACUCCCGCGGCCUGUCCGUCUUCCCCGUCUUCUGCACCAGAUUGAGGCAUCCCGCGCGCACGGGCUUCCUUACGCCCGUGGUUCUGGUGGGGGCAUGGAAAAGCUCGCCCCUGUAGAGGUGGAGCCACAGCUCCCAGUGCGGCAUCAUCCCCAAGUAGCCCUCACAUACGGCGGCGAAGACCGCCGCUACGGUGAUGGCAUUCGGAGAGAAGUGCUGGAGCUCCACCCCAUAAUGGAAGCAGAGGGCCCGCAUGAAGCGGCUCGGGGGCGCGCCCAGGCCGUGGCGGUGGAACUUGGCGAACGACACCACGUAGCCCUCGGGCGGCUGAGGCCUCCUGUGACUCGCUGGCGGCGCGAUCCACUCUGGCGACGAUAGCGAGGUACGGCGGCGCAGCAGUCCCUCUUUCUCAAGCUCUAACAACCAGCGCUCCGUCAUCGACGACGGGCGCCAGUCGUCGGCGGCGACGAGUCUUACAGGCAUCUCGGCUGGAGGGAUAGCGAGAUUCACUACAGCUCGAGGUGGCGUGUGCGCGUGAGACGGCGAGAAAGCGAAGGCAACGAGAGUAAAAGCGAGAAGACGGAAGGGAGAGGAACGGCGGCGACGCCACGACGUAUUUAUAGGCAGCAGUCCGCCAACGGACAGAUCCGAGAAAUAAGGUAACUCCCUCCCAUAAAUGCGCCGUCUAACGGUCCUCUCUCUCCACACAGGCCGGACGCUCCGAAUUCCACGCCAAUACAGUGUCGCAACGUCACUUACCUCAAAAGGUGCGCCCAACGGGCAGAAAGACGAACCGGCACGGCAGUUUCCUUACUUUGUAAGCCAAGGUAUGCGCCCAGGAUAGUCUCGAGAGGUCGAUGGCUGGCCCGUCGAAAGGGUUCGACAGCCGAUCUCGAGCGCCAAGAGUCAGGGAUCCCCAGCGAGCGGUCGAAAAUCGAGGCCCGCCUCGAGGACUCGCUGGCGAUGUCCAAGGUAGGGUCGAGACAGUCGAGAGGAAUCCCCCCGAAGGGAGGCAUCGAGCCGCUGGACUCUAUCGAAUGAGACCAGUAUCCCCGACCACGUCGACCCCGCUUUAUGAGGACGCCUCUGGGCUACAGCUGACUCCCUCGAAAGGGGCACAGGUUCUCACUUGGACUACCCGCUAGGAACUCAAUCUGGGGUGGAAGACGCUCGCUCUAUCGAGAGUACGUCGAAACCUCCACGCAAGGCAAAGCCAAACAGAACCUUCCACCAUGGGUGUUGACAGCGUUUCUGCAAUUUUGGCAAAAUAACCCUCGAAGGAGUUGAAUACUCCCUCGAGGGCUCGGGGGCUACCCCCGCGGGGUCGCUCGCGCGCCCCCGUGGAAGCUCGACCGUAAAAACGAAAGUCUCCACUCGAGCGCCAGCGCUCGAAUGAAGACUCGGGGGCUACUGUCGAGGGUAUCAACAAGGGGUACCCUCACCAAUGCGUAUAACCAGGCCAUCCGUACGCACGCGCGGCCAUCGACGGUCGCAGCCUCGAAGACGGAAAUGCCGUCGAGCGAAUCGGUCAAGGCUCGAGCGACCACUGCCGUCGAAUACGGAAACGGGCUCGAGCGAACCGAGAGGCAUCGAGCGCAAGGACACUGUCCGCCGCCUGACGCGCGCACGGGAGCCUGGGCAUUUAAUGCGCCUGACGCUUCCCCACCUAACACACGGGUCACGGGAGGCUUCUGUCCCAUCGUUCUUUUUGCAGCCUUCCCACCGAACGAUCAGGGGCGUGUCAGGACGCAGGGAACAAGGAUGGAACGUCUAAUCGGGACCCCCUCGAGACCUCCAAGGUCAGCGCUCCAGAUAUCAGCACAUUACACGGCGUCCGACCCUCGACCGAACAGGGUCCCUUCCUAGGGGCAAGUUGGGCGUCGACUGACAACACCACAGCUACCCCGCCGGAUCCGCCGCCAUACCGUACCGGCAUGCGACCUCAGAACCAGCGCGAGGCGGCGGGCAGGGCCGAACGCAGGAGCACGCGUAAUCAUCACCGGGCUAUCAAGAUGGGACGGCUCGAGGCCAUGCCGUACGGAAGCCUCGAGUAGGUCAGCGCUCCAUGCGGCUAUCGACCCCUACUCUAGCGUCUACGCAUGUACCCUGGGUCUCUCCUUGGAGCUAUAAAAGGAGAGACUCAGGAAUAGAACGGGAGGACGAAAACAAGAAGACAAGUCCACGCUCAUGCGUAGUAGAGCUUCACACUUCAUACUACGCUUGUAUUCGCCCCUGUACAAGCACUUAGGUGCAAGAUAAUACAAACUCUCUCCCCCCGCUGGACGUAGGGCCUUCUCUUGCCCGAACCAGGAUAAAUCUCUGUGUCUUCUUGCAUCACCAUCCGGGAAAGGGAGCACGCAUACAAAUUUACUCGUUGGUGUGACCCCCCCCCCGAGGGAAAACACCGACAGUUAGAUUGGAUCUAUAUACAUAUUUAGGAUCGUAUAGCGUUUAUCCAUCGGAUCCAUGUUUAAAUGAUAGAUAUUGUGUAGGCGUGGUGCUUAUACCGUAUUUAUCUGCGAUUGUACCCAAUAUGCCAGAUCGUGGGGUAGUUCGUGAUAGUGACAGCUUCAUUGAUUCUUAUAUAGUCCCCCUCUCGUGUAUUGGGCUGGCAGAGCAAUAUUAUUACAGGGGAGUGAUUGCUAUGUUUCUCAUUUACCUUGCUAAUAUCACUAUGCAUGGGCGUAAUCUUGUCUCGCAAUGAUUGCUAAGUAUGCUUGCACUAACUAUGAUAAUGCUAAACUAUAUAGUUGAGAAUAACUUAGGAAAUAUUCUUGUAGUUUGUUCUAAUUCCAUGCUAAUGACUUUCUAGAGUAUCUAAUUGAGGUGCUUAUCAUAUUUAUUAUGUGGCUAGUUAUGAUCAGAUUAAUUAUCCUUGUCACUAUUCAUUACUUCAUAUAUCCUUUAUGUGACACUUACCCCUGUAUGAAAGAGUUAGAUAAAUGUUCUCAAUUAUACAUGCAAUGAUAGAUGCUCAAUCUCAUAUUCUAUUCUAUAAUCAAUAUUGAUGAUUGCUAAUCUCUUCCCAGUGGUAAAAAUAUAAAUAACGAUACCUGGAAUACUUCCCGGUUAAAAUGCUACAUCAGUAUUAAUCUGUGCGCUUGCAGAUCCCAUUCAUUAUUUAUUUAGAAGAGCAAUUGCAUAUUUCAAUACCGCGUCUCUCAUAUCAUGCUGGGGAUGACACCUUGGCUUAAGUGGUAUGAGGUGUAGGUUUGGCAUUUUUGGCACCGUUACUAGAAUUAGAAAACUGUCUACUUUUGGUAAUGAUGUUAAGAAUACCCAACAUGAUGCAAAGUCAAUUAGCACACCUAUGGGAACUAAUGGAAACUUGGAUAGUGAUGCUAGUGGCAACAUGGUGGAUCAAAAGUUGUAUCGGUCUAUAAUUGGAAGCCUACUCUAUGUGACUGCAUCAAGGCCGGAUGUGAUGUUUAGCGUAUGCAUGUGUGCUAGAUUUCAAGCCUCACCAAGAGAAAGCCAUUUGAAGGCAACAAAAAGAAUAUUGAGGUACUUAAAGCAUACACAAAAUGUUGGAUUUUGGUAUCCCAAAGGAGCAAAUUUUGAGUUGAUUGGUUAUUCUGACUGUGAUUAUGCGGGAUGUAAAAUUGAGAGAAAGAGCACAUCAGGCACAUGUCAAUUAUUGAGAAUGUCACUUGUAUCUUGGUCAUCAAAGAAGCAAAAUAGUGUAGCACUUUCAACCGCUGAAGCAGAAUAUAUUUCAGCUGCUAUUUGUUGUGCUCAAUUACUUUGGAUGAAGGCUACUUUGAAUGAUUUUGGAAUCAAGUUCAAACAAGUGCCAUUGCUAUGUGACAAUGAGAGUGCACUGAAGCUCACUAACAACCCAGUUCAACAUUCAAUAACAAAGCAUAUAGAUGUCCACUAUCAUUUCAUAAGAGAUCAUCAACAAAAAGGGGACAUUUGUAUUGAGAGUGUGGGCCCCGAAGAUCAACUUGCCAAUAUUUUCACCAAGCCACUUGACGAGAAGAGGUUUUGCAAGUUAAGGAAUGAAUUGAACAUACUUGAUUUCUCAAAUAUGUGUUGAUGCACCCCCAAAAUAUGACAUGCCUCACCUUCGAGUAAAACAAGGUACAAUUGUUUGACAUAUCAUCCAUCCUUUGCUAAGGACUUGUUUAGUGCAUCUAGUCAUUCCUCAUAUGUCCUAGGCUCAUUUAUGAAAAUAAAAUGAAUUUGAUGCUUGUAUGGUACCACUAUUGCUUCUAUGUUUGAAAUGAUCUAAUGGUAGCAUAUGACAUGUUUGUGGGCUUGCAAUCCUAGUGUUUGAUCUAGAAAAUGAGCUAUAAGUGUUUAACUCAACAUUGUCAAGAUAACCAUUGAAAUGAGGUGUGAAAAAGAAUGUCAUUGGAUCAAACCGAGUUAAAUAUCUUAGGCAAGUAAUCUAGAUUGAACCAAAUUUGGGAAAAUGAUCCUCACAUAACAUGGUUUCACACAACCUAUCAAAAAUUUGAGCUCACCAUUUGUGGUCAUCGAUGACAAAAUGGGAGAAGUAAUUCACAAAGAUAGGUUUUGCUAAAAGAAGGGGAUCAAAUUAUUUUGAAACACACAAGUAGGGGGAGCAAGCUCAUAAACUUGUAUGUUGCAUUUUGAUGUGCAUUACAUAUGCUUGCUUGCAUAGCACAUUUUCUUUAAUACAUGCUUGCGUGAUGUAUGCUAGUUGUAAAAUUAAUUGAUGAAAUGAAAAACUAGCAUGUAUAGGAUGAUAGUUAGAUGUACCUUGCAUGUUUUUUUGUUUUACAAGUGGUACUAGAGCCUUGUUUAUAAUGUUGAUCUCACGAGGUAUCUAGUGUUUAUGUUUGCAAGAGCUAUCUAACUAAUCAUGGUGCUAAGAAUGGUGUUCAAAUGGCAACUCUGAUUGGUAUCACGCUUCAAAGGUCCAUUCUUUACACCUUAGCAUCAUUUGGUAGUCAUUGUCUCCUAUGUUUCCUAUCUAAGCAUAUGUGCAAGCUUUCAAGUCCAAACUCUUAGCACAUACGUAUGGGGAGCCAUUGCUACCGAUUUGGGUUUAUGAAACUUGUCCAUAUCCUUUACACAUGGUAAAAUGCUUGGGCAAGCAACAUGAAUCUAAAAAGAUUUUAUUGAAUAUCUUUGUGAAAAGGUUGUCAUCAAUUACCAAAAAGGAGAAGAUUGAAAGCCCUAGUUUGGUUUUGGAUAAUUGAUAAAACCUAUGUGUACUAACCUUUGUCAUGAGUAAAAUAUAAAGAUAGGUUGGCACACACCAAGUGAUGGAGCUAGAUGAUGGUCAUGGUGAUAGAGGUGACUAAAAGAUGAUAUUCAAGUGCUCCAACUUGGAAAAGAAGAAAGAGAAAAACAAAAUGAGCUCAAGGCAAAGCUAUUUUUAAUAGGACCAUUUUGUUUUGCCACUCAAGACACCUAGUGGGUGUGAGUGGAUUUAGGAUAGAUAACCGUACUAUAAAGAGGGGAAAUCUUUAAUUGCAAUUGUUAUCUAGUGCCACUAAGUGUGAGUCUCAUUUGCAUUUACCUAGCGCUUAGUGACGUGGUGAGCUGCAUGAGAAAGCCAAUAAAAAUAUUUGUGAAAAGCUAAUUUAAAUGUCCAAUUUUUUUUGAAAUAUUUUGGUAAAGUUAGCUACUUGAAAAGGUGCUAAAAAUUCACAAAAGGAGAACUGUUGUCCAGACGUAAAGGAACUGCAAGCUGCAAAAACAAGUUGAAAGUUUUGUGCAAAUAGCUGAAAUAAACUGGAAGUAGUUGCAACUAGUUAAAAAUAGUGUGCAGUCCAACAGCAAGCAGGAGAAAGAAAGCUGGAAGUAGUUGCGGCCAGUUGGAACCAGUUAAAAUCAGUGCACAACUCAACAGCAAGUAAAUGAGUGUGGUUGCAGAUAACUGGACGCAGUCGCAAUCAGUUAAAUCCAGUGUGCAGUCCAACAGCAUGCAGAUGAAAGAAAGUUAGAAGCAGUUGCAGCUAGUUGGAAUCAGUUGAAAGAUUUUACAGCUGCUGCUUGCUGCCUGUCUCGUGUGUUAGAAGGAAAAGGCAGGGACCAUGCUUGCAUACGUUUGUGGACCUCUUGCCAUAAUAAAUAAGAGAGAGGUGUUUUGCAUGCUUGCAUGCAUGUGAACACACCUUGAGAAAAGGAGACAGCUAUUGACCUAUGCUAAUUAUAGCAUGGGGUCCACUCAAGUACAAGAAGGUACUUACUUAUUUUGAGGUGUUGCUCGUCCAUUCAGAAUGGAGAUUGGCAGGAGUGCAUGCGCGUAGACUGCUAGAGGUUGCAGCUCUUUACCACUUGCUCAUUUAUUUGAUGGGACCCAUUACUAAGAGAAUGCAGAGGGUCACUCAGUGCCUGUGUUGUCCGUUGUGGCAAACAGUACUAUUCUUUUGCCCGUUGGAGAGCUGGCUAGCCAAGGAAAUAUAGGCCGAGUGCUCCCCUUCCUUGCUCUCUCUGUCUCGCGAAUACAGAAUAGAAUACUUCACUUCUUUCUUUCCAGAGAACAGAGAACUCGAGCUCCUCUCUCCCAUCUCUCUCAAGUGUUAAUCCCUCGAGAGAUUUUUGAGAGGCCUACGUGUUUGAUCCAGUGAGCUUGUGAGCAUCUCCUCUGCCUCUCAUAACUUGGUGCUCAUCUAAGAGAGGAUUGAGGGAAACCCUAGGUGCAUUUGAAACUGCAUAUUCUUGUGGUACUAGGUGAUUGUUGAAAUUAUAGAUUUCUUUGCCGUCACCUAGACGGUUGUGAAUUUAUUGAUUUGUGAGGAGAUUUGGUAAUUGUGUCCGCCCUCAGUCAAGGUGAUAUUUGUGAGGGGUUCUUAGGCUUAUUCCCCGGCGGAGUGCCAAAAGCCACUCUAGUGAAUUGCGCGUGUCAUUGAGCUACCUCACUUGUGGUAGGUCCUUGCGGUGCUCGUGGUGAGCUUGGGUGUGGAAUCCCAAUUAACCGCUGGACCAUGAAGUGUUGGUCGACACAAUGGGGACUAGCGUGCCGGCAAGCACGUGAACCUCGGGAAAAAAUAUUGGUGUCAAUAUUGUGAUUGGUAUUCUCCCGGUGAUUAUAUUGAUAUACAUUGUGAUUGCUUCAUCCUCUACACAUCGGUAUAAUUAUCUUUUACCUCUUUACUUUCUUGCAAAUUAGUUGUAACUAGUAGAUCCUAGUUUUAGCUUGUUGUAACUAGUUGUAAAGAGUAGUGACAUAGCCAUUGCUUGUGCCUAAAGAUCAUAGCAACUAGAAUUAUAGGAUAGGUGGCUUGCAACCCUUGUAGAGCUAGAGCAAAAUUGCUUUACGCCUUUUGUUAUAUUAAUCCUUUGCUCUAGUGCCUUGUAGAAUUUUUAAAUAGGCUAUUCACCCCCCUCUAGCCAUAUUAGAACCUUUCACCUAGCCGUCUAGGUGGCAGCAACCACCAAGAGUAACAAGAAAACCAUAGCCAAAUCGAUCCCCAAGUGCCACUAGAUGCAAUCACUCAAGCAAAUUCACUUCGAAUCACUCUCAAUCUGACAAAGAUGGUUAAUCUAUGAAGGAGAUGAGUGGGAGAUGUUUGCUUAGGCUCACAAGGAUGUCAAGUAUGCUAUAAUUCCAAGAGAGUGAGCCCCAAGCCAGCCAACAACUAUUUAUAUGCCCCUCAAACAAAUAGAGUUGUUGGCUCUUUUACUGGACAAAAAUCGAGGCCACCGGACGCGCAGAAGGUGAGUCACCGGACACUCGAACCCAGCGUCCAGUGCUCCAGAUGACACCCACGUGUUAGCUUUUGAAUCUCACGCGUUGAUCUCUAACGGUCACUUUCAAACCACCAAACGCGAUUAAGUAGACAUCGGUCGUGUUCGGUGCACACCGGACCUAUACGCAAAGAGGACUGUAAAAGCACGGGGUCACCAGAUGCGGUCACCGGACGCUCUUUAGGGAGUCCAAUGCUCAGCAGUCAGAAAAUGCUCGCCUGCGUACUUGCUGAUGUCAUACCACACCGAACGCGCGAACGGUGCCUGACUCGCGUCUGAUGUGAGCGUUCGAUGCACACUUCACCUGUGCCGGAAAUCGAGAGUGCACCGGACACACAGGAUCAGCGUCCGGUGAGUGUUUUUCUAGUAAAAAAUACUCUCACGACUUCUCCAACUUUUCACCGGCGCAAUAGAAAAUAUGCGCUUCAUUUUCUCAAAAGGAGAGGAACCCAAACCCCUCUCUACCCUUCAAACUCCACCUCCUUCUUAAAGUAUGCCAACACCACCAUAUGUAUACCAACAUGUGCAAGUGUGUUAGUAUUUUCACAAACAUUUUCUUCGAAGGAGUUAAGUUAGCUCACUAGGUUCUAAAUUCAUGCACAUGAACAAUGACACCUUAGUGGCACUCGAUAACCACUUAGUAAAGAAUUCCCCUCUUUAUAGUACGACUAUCUAUUCUAAAUGUGAUCACACCCUCUAUGGUGUCUUGAUCACCAAAACUAAAACCCUAAGCAAUACCUUUGCCUUGAUCUGCAUAGGGUUUUGUUUUUCUCUUUCUUCUUUUCUAAGUUGAGCACUUGAUCAUCUUGUGGUCAUCACCAUCAUCACCAUGAUCAUCUUUUGCUCCAUCACUUGACAUGUACCAACCUCAUGAAGUCUACACACACUUAGUAUAGAGGUUAGUACUAGGGUUUCAUCGAUUAUCCAAAAACCAAACUAGGGCUUUCACACAUGUAUAGAGUAUUGAAUAUAGACUAUUUAUGAAACUAAAAAUACGGUUAGAGAAUAAUUUGUGAGAUAAAUCUUUUAAGUUAAUUAGUCCAUAAUUAGAUACUAAUUGCUAAAUAAAAAAAUUCUACAAUACUUGUUAAACUUUAACGCUCCAAUCAAACACUUGACACCUUCGACACAUGACACCUUCGACGAUGGUGUCACUGCAUCAGAGUAGAAGGCUGGCUGCUAAAGCCAGUGUCUCCAACCCAACUAUCCAGGUAUAUAAAAUGUACUAAUGUGAAAGCUGGGAGUUACAAACGUUGCAUAGAGCCCGAACCCAGAGGCUUUCGAUAGAUACCAGACUAUCUUUACUACUCCACUGUCAACCACCAAGCAUGAGGCCCUUCAAGCGCUAAUCCAUAAUGGCCCAGAUCCGGUGGUCAUGGAGCUGGACUUCAUAGCAUUGGAGAUCUUUUCUGUUUGUUUAUCUAAAAAAGUCAUGGCUAAAAGUAAUGUUUAUUAAUUUUUUGUAAGAGAAAACCACCACUGGCUGAUAGAAAAAGUACGGCUUAUAAGACAAACGAAUAGAGCCAGCCUGAUUGUUGCCACCGUGCUGGUAGCUCAAUGUUAUUGCCAAGUAAUAUAUUUGUAACCAUAACCUAAUGAGUUCGGUGGGUGUUUGGCUCACCAAUUACCAUCCAUCUUUUUAAUGUUAAACUGUACUUCUGCUUAAUGAAAAACAUGUCUGGCAUGGUAGUGAACACAUAUACAGACCGAGACGGACUCCCUAUAGAGCAAGGUGAGGCAUCCGGCCUACCUCCCCUCUAGUUAGGACCCUAACCUCCCCCUCCCCCUGGGGUGAGCGGACUUGCUUCUCACCGAUGCGCCGACACCUAAGAAUUAAAGUUGACGGACAUGAGAAGCCUGAAUCAUUGAAGGUUGAAGACAACUAUUGGAGUGGGCUUCUUUGCUUUUGGGUUGUUUACCUUUUAGCAUGUUCCAUUACUUGGAUGGAUCAUUGGGCCUCGUUUAGCCCAUCAGGCAUUAGGGGAGGUCGGUUGUCCUUCUCAGCUUGCCACUUCUCGCGAAUAGGUGGACAACAAUGAUGGCAGCAUGACACUCUCACACGAAGGUGGAGCCUCGAGCACUUGGCAGAUCCCGUCACUCGGUGCCUAGGCCUCACCACUCCACGUCUGGGCUUCUAGCUUCUGCCUCUAGCCUCCUCACUCCCAAAUGGUGACUCUCUUUGCUCAACAUUGCGGCUCACUCCUCCUACUUCUCGCCUCACUCCACACACUAGGUAGCUUGCGCUCGCUAGACGACUGUCUGUGUUUUCCCCCCGGGGGGUCACACCAACGAGUAAAUUUGUAUGCGUGCUCCCUUUCCCAGAUGGUGAUGCAAGACGACACAAAGAUUUAUCCUGGUUCGGGCAAGAGAAAGCCCUAUGUCCAGCGGGGGAGGGAAUUUUGUAUUAUCUUGCACCGAAGUGCUUGUACAGGGGCGAAUACAAGCGUGGUAUGAAGUAUGAGAGUUCUACUGCGUAUGGGCGUGGUGUUGCCUGUUGUAUUCCUGAGUCCCUCCUUUUAUAGCACCAAGGUGAGGCCUAGGAUACAUGCGUAGGUGUCAGAACUGGGGUCGAUAGCAGCCUGGAGCGCUGACCUACUCGAGGCUUCCGUACCGGCAUGGCCUCGAGCCGUCCCGUCUUGAUAGCCUGAUGAUGAUUACGCGUGCCCCUGUAUCCCGCUCCGCGCGCCGUCUUGGGCUGGUUCACCGGUCGCACGCCUGUACGAUACGGCGGCAAACCCUGCGGAGUGGUUGUGGUGUUGUCAGUCGACGCCCAGCUCGUCCCCAUGAAGUAGCUACAUCUGGUCGAGGGUCGGACGCCGUGUAAUGCCCUGAUGUCCGGAGCGCUGACCUUGGUUGUCUCGAGGGGGUUCCGAUUAGACGUUCCAUCCUUGUUUCCCGCGUCCUGACAUGCUCUGGGUCGUUUGGUGGGGAAGGCUGCAAAAAGAACGAUGGGACGGGUGCCCGUUUCCUAUCACGUUAGGUGGGGAAGCGUCUGGCGCAUUAAAUGCCCCGGCUCUCGUGCGCGUGUCAGGCGGCGGGCGGCGUCCUUGCGCUCGACGCUUCCUGAUUCGCUCGAGCCCGUUUCCGUAUUCGACGAUAGCUGGCGCUCGACCCCUGAUCGAUUUGCUCGAUGCUAUUUCCGUCUUCGAGGCUACGGCCGUCGACGACCGUAUAUAUAUAUAUAUAUGACCAGAGCGCCGAGUCGAGAGCCUCGACCUACGUACGGGUAAUCUCGCUAUGCGUGUCGGUGAGGGUACCCCUUACUGUUACCCUCGACAGUAGCCCCCGAGUCUCCAUUUGAGAACUGGCGCUCGAGUGGAGGCUUUGUUUUGCGCUUGAAUUUCCGUGGGGGCGCGCGAGCGACCCCGCGGGGGUAGCCCCCGAGCCCUUGGAGGAGUUUUUGACUCCUUCGAGGGUUAUUUUGCCUAAUUUGCAGAAACGCUAUCGACACCAGUGGUGGAAGGUUCUGAUUGGCUUGCCUUGCGCGGAGGUUUGGACGUACUCUCGAUAGAGCGAGCGUCUUCCACCCCAGAUUGAGUUCCUAGCGGGUAGUCCAAGUGAGAACCUGUGCCCCUUUCGAGGGGGUCAGCUGUAGCCCGGAGGCGUUCUCAUAAAGCAGGGUCGACGUGGUCGGGGGUACUGGUCUCAGUCGGGGAUCCCUCUCGACUAUCUCGACCCUACCUUGGACAUCGCCAGUGAGUCUUCGAGGCGGGCCUCGAUCUUCGACCGCUCGCUGGGGAUCCCUGACUCCGGUGCUCGAGAUCGGCUGUCGAACCCUUUCGGUGGGCCAGCCUGCAACCUCUCGAGGCUUUCGCGAGUACGCCCCUUGGCUUACAAGGGAAGGAAGUGGCCACGACAGUUUGCCUUUUUGCCCGUUGGGCGCGCCUCUUCAGGUGUGUGACGUUACGACACUGCGUCGGCGUGGAAUUCAGAGCGCCCCGCCUGUGAGGGGGAAAAGACUGUUUGAUGGCGCAUUUAUGGGGGGAGUUACCUCAUUUCUCAGAUCUGUCCGUUGGCGGACUGCUACCUAUAAAUACGCCGUGGCGCCGCCGCCGUUCUUUCUUCUUCCUUCCGCCUUCUUGCUUUCACCUUUUCGUUGCCUUAGCUCUCCUGCCGUCUUACGCGCGCGUGCACCCCCUCGAGCGGUAGCGAAUCCACCAUCCUUCCAGCCAAGAUUCCUGUGACACUCGUCGCCGCCGACGACUGGCGCCCGUCGUCGAUGAUGGAGCGCCGGUUACUAGAGCUUGAGAGUGAGGGACUGUUGCGCCGCCGCACCUCGCUGUCAUCGCCAGAGUGGAUCGCGCCGCCGGCGAGCCACAGGGAGCCCCAGUCGCCCGAGGGCUAUGUGGUGUCGUUCGCCAAAUUCCACCGCCACGGCCUGAGCGCUCCCUCGAGCCAUUUCAUGCGGGCCCUCUGCUUCCACUAUGGGGUGGAGCUCCAGCAUUUCUCCCCGAACGCCAUCACCAUCGCGGCGGUCUUCGCCGCGGUGUGUGAGGGCUAUCUAGGGAUGAUGCCCCACUGGGAUCUGUGGCUCCACCUCUACAGGGGCGAGCUUUUCAAUGCCCCACCGGAACCACUGGCGUGAGGAAGCACGUGCGGGCCGGGUGCCUCAACCUGGAGUUGAAGACGAAGAAGACGGAGAGGCCGCGCGAGUACAUCCCGGUGGGGUUGUCAUCGAACCAUGCCGGGUGGGACUCGCAGUGGUUCUACCUGAGGAACGACGACGGUCUCUUCCCUGCUUACACCGGUCAUCUGAUCACGGAGCGCCCGGACAACUGGACAUACGGCGUCGUCCAAGAGCACCAGUCGCGGCUCGACCCCCUCCUCGACGCCAUGAAGAAGCUACGCCUGGAGGGCUUGUCCGCCGCUCUCGUCCUCUCGGCCGUCCAUCGUCGAAGGGUCCUCCCUCUGAUGUCUCGGCCGUUGAGGAUGGACGAGAUGGGGCCGGGCGUUUCGUCCCGGGAUCUCGAGGCAUGCCAGAUGUCCAACGAGGCUCUGGCGGACGAUGAGACUGCCGCCCGAGUUAGGGCGGCCAUCGCUGGCGACUUUAAGUCGAAGCACGUCAACGGCUUCCCUAUGAGGCCCGACGAAGGCUCGGUCGACCUGGUAUGCUUUUUCCUCGCACAUAACUCCAACUCUGGAUUUUCCUCGAUCCUUUUUAAACCUUCCUUUGUUCUGGUAGGGAUGUAUUGAUGUCCGGUCCUCGAGGCCCCCUAUGAAGGAGGAUCAGGUCGAUCGCGACAGACGGCGGCAGUCCGCCGAAAAGCUAAAGUCCGCCAAGGACUCUGCAAAGAAAGGGGAGAAAAAGAAGAACCUCGAUCGCCAAGCAUUGGAUGCGCGUCGAGCUAAAUCCAGGCAGAGGGGGGAGCCUGAGGAAGAAUCCCCCAGUGAAGAUGAUGACGACGACGAGGACAGCGAUGAUUCUGAGGGGAUGCCGUCUCGCCUUGACCGGAUACUCGAGGGUCCGCCUCGAGGCGACGUCGACGUCCCUCGGACGGAAGCUCCAAAGGAGGGUCCGAGCGAAUCUCACCGCCCUCGGGCCGACACCCCUCCUGCGCCCAUGGCUAGUCAGGUUGCGCCGCGCCCUCCCCCUGCGCCUAGGGGGGUGGCCAUGCUAGGCCCCAGGCGACGGGGCCUCUGACUUGCGGUCGGGCCGCGGCCUCCGAGAAAGGAGAGGCCGGCCGCAGGAGCGCCAGUCCCGGCGCUCGUCAAGCGGGAGUUGUUGCGCCAAGGCCAGCGCCUGUCCUCGAGGGGCCUGGAGCCUUGACGCGGGGUGGCUCGAAGCCCACCGGUCGGGGCACUGGGAGGCGAGCUGUUCUCCUCGUGGGGUAAGCUUCUUCGUCGUUGUGACAUUUGUUUUCCUAUUCGUCUGCAUUUUCUCACAUGCCGAUCUUUUUAUGCUCAUCCCUUUCUUUUCUCAGGCUAAAGCGGACACUCGAGCAGGCCCAGCCUUCCAUGGCGAAAAGGCUCAAGGCGGGAGCAGUUUCCAAGGAGCCAGGUUUGUGGCUCACUUUUGGUACUUGUGAUGUUCUCAUGUUGGUCGUCAUAGUGACCGGCCUCCAUUCCUUGUUUUGCAGGCUCCUCCGACUCUCGUCCUCUGGCUGACGCCGAGAGCGCCCUGCCUCGUCCCGAGCCUGCCCCGUCGCCGCCGACGCGGGUCGAGGCGCCACAGACUCAGGGGCAAGAAGGAGCCCCCGAGCCCCCCCGAUUGGGGGUCGAGGCGGACCCCAUUACCAUCAGCGACACGUCUGGCGGCAACGAGAUAUCGGGGGACGCCCACCCUAUGGAGGAGGAGGCAUUGACCUCCCUCAUCGCGGGACGGACUCCCUGGCCUGCUGGUCUUCGCGCUCUCGAGGAGCAGAGGAAGAAAGAGGAGGAGGAUGAGGAGCGGGAGCGUAGGGCAACGCGGCAGCCGCAGGAGCAAGGCCGCGGGCAAGAGCCGUAGGAGCACGAGGAGCAACAACAGCAGCAGCAGCAGCAGCAACAGCAACAGCAGCAGGUGGAGCACCAAUAGCAAAUGCUCGAGGUGGAGCAGCAGCAGCAUCAGGGGGGCAAGGAAGAAAAACCGCUUGAGCCCCCGCCUCAAGAUCUGCCUCAACCAGUACCACCAGCGCCACAAGAGCCUGGCGGGCAGGAAGAAGAUCUGCCGGUGUACGGCCCUCCGACCCCAGCGUGGCUCCUUUCGGGGGCGCCCGCCGCGAUCCGGGCAGAGCCGGGGCGAGCAGAAGGUGUGGUGGCACUUGCCUGCAUGAUGCGCACCCCCACCAACCCCGAAUCCAAGAUCAAGAGGACAAUCUACGGCAUGGACGGGAUCGCCCCAGGGUUCCUCCAGGAGCGUCGGGCAUGGGAGGACCGCUUUCCCUCUGAGGAGGAUGAGAUCGGGUCGUCGGAGAGUAAGGAUGGUACCUGGAAGACGGUGGACGACGAUGGGCGGUUCCCAUGCCUCGUCGACCUGUUCUUGCGCCACGGGGGCUCCCUCGAGACCGUCGAGAACCUUAUCCGUCAAGGCGCGGGCAGAUCGAGAGAUGGAGAACUGGUGGCCCGAACGGAUUCGUAUCCGGGCUUCCACCGAUCCGUCCGAGCCCAACAUCUUCCUCGAUGACAAGAAAGAGGCCGAGAAGUGGGAACAUGUCGAGGAGCUCCACCUUUGGAUGAAGCACGUGGUGGGGCUCCUGUCGGACAUUAUCAACAACGGGCUCGGGUCGGCUUAUUUUGUAAGUGCUUUUCGAUCUUUAAUCCUCAUGGGGCCUUUUGGUUUUGUGUUCUAACCAUUCGACCCCCAGCUCGCAGGACAUGAAAGAGACCUCCCGUAUCAAGUCGAGCUUCAUUCACGCCACGAGAGGAGGCUGGGAGCAGCUCCCCGUCCUCAAGGACCAACUCCUCGAGUCGCAAGAAAAGCUCCUUAAGGCCUAUAAAGACCUCAUAGCGCUCGAGGAGGAGAAGAAGGCGAGGGAGGCUGCCUUGGUCGAGGCUCGAGAGGCCUCAAGGAAGGCGGAGGAGGAGACGAUGCUGCUGCGGGAGCGGGCUCUGACAGUCGAGGAGGCCACAUCCAAGGCCCGGGAGGAGGCCCUGUCCUACAAGAGCGUCAUUGCGGACCUGGACAAGGAGAAGGGCCUUCUUAGGGCCGACCUGGACUCCCUCCUAGAGUCCUUCCAAAAGAUGAAGGUGGAGCACGUGAACGGCGAGAUCGCCAGGAGCGCCGCGGAGGAAACCAAGAAGAAGGCCCUUGAAGAUCUCGAGGCGGAGCGGGCUCAAUCCCGCAGGCUCUCUGACGACGUCGAACGUCUGAAGGGAGAGCUGUUGGAGAAGAGCGGGGCCAUUGCUCAGGCUGGCAAGGCGAUCGAGGAUCUCCGCGUUGCCAACACUGAGCUGGCACGCUCCAAUAGAGAGAUCGAGAGGGCCAACACCAGACUGGUCGGCGAGAACACGGCCCUGGAGGAGAGCGUCCGUGGUACGUUUCCACUGUCAGAUUUCUUUUUCGAGGUGUGCUUGGUUUUUCCUAAAGUUUCUUGUAUUGGUAUUUACAGGGCUUAAGGAUGAACUCCUAGCCGCCCAAGUCGAGGCCCGUAAUGUUAAGGCCCAGCUUGAGGCGGAGGUUGCUUUGAACCGUCGCGUGCGGACGACGAUAAGCGACCUCUCGACCUCUUGGGAGGUCGAGCCUAUGGACGAGUCGAGGAAGGAUGCUCGAGGCGACGCACUGGUCGACCAGCUGUGCUACUUAGGUGCGACGCUGCGAGAUCGAGUGCGGGAUGCCCUCCACAUCGGGGUGAAGCAGGCGAUGGCGGUUGUCUCCUCGGGCUUCUCCUACGACAUGGAGGUAGUAUCUCACAGCUUCGUCACCGACAUCUCUAAGACCGACGUGGAGAACGAAGAGAGGCUCCACGCCUUGAUUGACGACGCGGAGGCUCCUGGAGAGAGGCUGGCCAAGUUAUUUGAGCCUGAGGUGCUUCCUCCUGAGGCUAGUUCGGGCGGAGGCGAGGGUGGUGAGGAUCGUGCCAUGGACUGAGGCCUGCGAGCCUGCUUCAGGGUGCCUGGGGCCCCUUGUAUAAUACUUUGUUAAUUCUGUUUUUAAGCGAUACAGUAUCUUUUUGUAAUUGUUAAAUGUUUAUUUGUCUUUCCGCUCGAGGUUCUUUUAUUUCUCUUUGCGCCUACGUAUGUGUUCCUUGUUCGAUUUUUCGUAAAAGACAGCUUCGAUCACCUCGAGGGUGAGGGAAUGAGUAGAGUUUCCACAGCCCAAGGGCGUAGGAGUUCUCAGGCUCGUUAUCCCUCAGCCCUUAAGGGGCUUGAGGCGCCUCAACUACUCGACCAUGCAAGGUUUACUAAGUAAGAAAGAGAGAAAAUUUUGGCUUUUUUCGACACUUGGGGGGGUCGCCCCCCUGGUAGCCCCCGAGGGGGUGUUGACUAUGAUGGGUCAUAGUCGGCGCCCCCUUCUAACGUUGAGAUUAUGACUUGUAAAGCUUUGGUACAGAAAGAAGUUGCUCGAGGGAUGGACUUCAUCUAUUCAUACAUUCGUUUACAAAGUCUCGGUACAAAAUAUACGUAGGAACAUAAAGUUUUGAACUUCUAGGGGUAGAAUCGACGUAGCUGUUCGAUGUUCCACGCAUUGGUGAAGACCGCCCCCUUCUCGUCCGCUAACUUGUACGUUCCUGGCUUCAAAACCUCGGCCACCACGUACGGGCCUUCCCAAGGCGGAGUCAGCUUGUGGCGUCCUUGAUUGCUUUGCCGUCGUCGCAGGACAAGGUCACCCACGUUUAAGUCCCUCUUUCGUACGUGUUUGUCGUGGUAGCGUCGAAGCUUCUGCUGGUAUCUGGCAGAGUUGAGGAGGGCCAUGUCUCGAGCCUCCUCAAGUUGGUCGAUUGCGUUCUCUUGAGUUUCCUUAUUCGACUGCUCGUUGUAUGCCUUGAGUCGAGGAGAUCCGUACUCGAGGUCCGUUGGGAGCACGGCCUCAGAGCCAUAGACCAUGAAGAAUGGGGUGUGUUUGGUGGCCCUACUUGGUGUUGUCCUUAGGCUCCAUAGGACCGAGGAAAGCUCUUCGACCCACUUCUUGCCGAACUUCUUCAAGCGAUUGUAGAUCCUUGGUUUGAGCCCCUGCAAAAUCAUGCCGUUGGCGCGCUCGACCUGGCCGUUAGUUCGAGGAUGGGCCACUGCAGACCAGUUCACACGGAUGUGAUGCUGAUUGCAGAAGUCCAAGAACUUUCUGCCAGUGAACUGGGUGCCGUUGUCGGUGAUGAUUGCGUUGGGGAUUCCAAACCGAUGUAUGAUGUCGGUGAAGAAAAGGACGGCUUGCUCGGAGCGGAUGUUGGUGAUGGGUCGAGCCUCGAUCCAUUUGGAGAAUUUGUUGAUGGCCACCAGCAAGUGGGUGUACCCACCUUUCGCCUUUUGCAGGGGCCCCACUAAGUCGAGCCCCCACACCGCAAAUGGCCACGUGAUGGGGAUCAUCUGAAGAGCGUGGGCGGGCAGAUGCCUCUGUUUGGCGUAGAACUGGCACCCAUGACAUGAGCGUGCGAGCUCGAUGGCAUCUGCUACGGCCGUUGGCCAGUAGAAACCUUGUCGGAAGGCAUUCCCUACGAGGGUCCGUGGAGCAGCAUGGUGGCCACAAGCCCCCGAGUGUAGGUCCUCGAGUAGUUUCCGGCCUUCUUCCACGGUGAUGCAACGCUGCAAGACCCCCGUCGGGCUUCGUCGGUAUAGCUCAGUGCCUUCACCGUAUAUCACAUAUGACUUGGCCCGUCGAGCGAUUCGGCAGGCUUCAGAUCGAUCUUCUGGCAGCUCGCAGCGGAUUAGGCAGUCGAGGAACGGUGUGCGCCAGUCGAACGGUCGACCGGGCCGCCGUUCUACCUCCAUCACCUCAGCUGCCAUCAAUAGUGCGUUGAUGGUGUCGGUUGGCUGGGCGGGAGCGGCAUCAACGCCGGCCCCCGAGCCCAAGUCGACGGAUGGCUCGUGAAGAUCUCUCGAGAACGCGUCAGGCGGUACCGUGCCUCGGGUCGACGCGAUCUUGGCGAGUUCGUCGGCUGCUUCGUUGUAGCGUCGGGCGACAUGGACGAGCUCGACGCCAUGGAACUUGUCCUCGAGUCGACGGACUUCUUUGCAGUACGCCUCCAUUUUCGGGUCGUGGCAGCUUGAGGUCAUCGUUACUUGAUCGAUGACGAGUUGGGAGUCGCCUCGGACGUCAAGGCGUCAGACUCCUAGCUCGAUGGCGAUCUUGAGACCGUUGAUGAGGGCCUCGUAUUCUGCGACAUUGUUGGAUGCAGCAAAGUGAAUCCUGAUGACGUACCUCAUAUGGACGCCCAAGGGCGAGAUGAACAGCAGGCCGGCCCCGGCCCCCGUUUUCAUGAGUGACCCGUCGAAAUACAUCGUCCAUAGCUCCGCCUGGACCUGAGUCGGGGGGAGCUGGGAGUCCGUCCAUUCCGCGAUGAAGUCCACCAGGGCUUGCGAUUUGAUGGCCUUAUGAGGCGCAUAAGUGAGAGUCUCACUCAUAAGCUCGACCGACCAUUUAGCUAUUCUUCCCGUGGCCUCCUUACUCUGGAUUAUCUCGCCCAAGGGGAAAGACGAGACCACCGUGAUGGGGUGACCAAGGAAGUAGUGCUGCAGCUUGCGGUGUGUGAGGAUUACAGCGUAGAUCAGCUUCUGAAUUUGGGGGUAACGUGCCUUGGUCUCCGAGAGUACCUCGCUGACGAAAUAGACUGGCCUCUGGACUGGCAAUGCAUGCCCCUCCUCCUGCCUUUCGACCACCACCGCCGCACUGACGACCUGGGUCGUCGAGGCAACGUAAAGGAGCAGUGGUUCUGCAGGCUGAGGUGGGACCAGGACUGGCGCUUGUUGAUGGUCCUUAAGUACUAAAAUUAAUAAUCAAAUAAACAUGAAAAAGGAUCAAUAUGAAACAAACAUCUAGAAUUAGGGUUUUAUCUGACAGAAUUCCACGAGUUUUGGUGUUUAUCUAUUUCUGCAGGGAGUUAUCAGAAAAUAUGGAGAGAAGGCCCACAUGUCAUGUUUACAACGAGAUAAUUACGUGCCGCGCAAUUUUCCUCAAUCUGGAAGGGUCUAGAAGCCACUGGAACGAACGGGAAGCGAUUCGGGCUCGGGGGCAGGGCGCCCGCCCACCCCCCUUGGGCGCCCGCCCAGGGUUGGAGGCCAAACAGGACUCUGCUUCGGGGCAAGACUCCACCGACCUAAAGGAUCAAUCUAAACCAUACAAUCUAUGUCGGUUUGAUCCAAUGGCUCACGUUCACUUGAGGGGACUAUAAAACCAGACCCCCUGGCCCCUGGAGGAAGAGAGGAGAAAUCAUUAUUCAGAGGUAGCCAUCAAAGUUAGGGUUUAGAGCUUCUCUCCCACAGAGAAUUAGAAUUAGCUACUCCCUAAUCCUUCAAGUUUAGAGGUUGAUUAGAUAGCAUUUAGAGAAGUAGAGCACUACGCUCUGGAUUCGGAUCUUCGGCAAUAAAGAUUGGUAUUAUUCAUAUCUUUCUCUAAUUCUAUUGUUCUAAUUGCAUUAUGUCUCUAAUUAUUAUGUUCUUAGUUUGCUCUAGUUCUAUAUUUGAUAUAGUUCUAAUUGAUAAUGAGUUUAUGUAUAAGUUUGCAAAGCGCUUAGCUCUUGUCGCGAGGGAGUUAAGUGAUAGAUCACAUGUGAGCGUGGUGCUUAGAUGUUAUUUAUCUGCAAAUGUAUCCUAUUGGCCAAGUCGUGUGGUAGUUCGCGAUAGUGACAGCUUCGUUGAUUCUUAUAUAGUCCACCCUCCGUUGCUAGGACAGGCAGAACCGGUAUUGUGGAGUAAGUCAUGCGAUGUUCUGAUUUACUUUAUCAAUGUUCCUUAUACAUGAAUGAAGAGUCUUUUAUGCUAUAUAUGAUCUUGUAGAUAACUAGAGUAGAUUAUGACUUAGUAGUUAGUAGAUAACUUAGAAUCCAUUCUCUAGCUAAUCCGACAUCACCUACAUAUAUGAGGAGUAGUCUAUUUUCUAAUCGCUGUGCUAUCUACCCAUGAACUUAUACUUUAUUAUCAUUAUCUUUAUGGUUUACCCCCUGCUAAAGUAAGUGACUGUGUGACGAGUUUCUCAUUAGUAAUCAUGUUCUUGCAAGUUUAUCUCUAGUCUAUGCCUUGAUAGAUUUUGUCCCUUGAUUUAAUUCCAUCUUCUUUAGAUCCCUAGAGCAAAAUUAUAAAUAACGAUACCUGGAAUACUUAUCCUGGUGAAAUGCUACAAUGAGGUGUUUUAUCUGUGCGCUUGCGGAUAGAAUAGAUUAUUUUCUAGAGAGCCUUUACAUUUAUAAAUACCUUUGUACACUCUGGCGCCAUGCUAGGGAUGACAACCUAGUAUCUAAGUGGUGUUAGCUAGUGUCAACAAGCAUUUCUGGCGCCGUUGCCGGGGAAUUAUAGGAUCUUAUAGGAAUUAUACGAGCCUCAGGAAUAAGUCAUUAAAGGGAACAAAAGGGUAAUAUUAAGGAAAGCCAGAAAAUCAAUCAAGGUUAUUCAUAUAAAAUUUUAGACUAGACUAUAGAGAAAUAAUUGCAUAAAACAGCUACUAAGUGAGAAAUCAUAACAAGGCACCUCUGCUUUGGCAAGUUCACCCUGUUGUUUUUCUAUGUUUAUAUUUUAUACAGGGUAUAACAGGAUUGACUUUGGGUACAUUCGACUCUUCAUCAUCAGAACCAAAGCAAUCAAGAGAAGAAGAAGCUAGCUACCAAUUGCUGAAGCUAUGGCACAAAAGACCUUGCAAGAAUUCUCUGCUCCAAGUCUUGACAACAUUCCAAUUGGUCCAAGAUUUGCAGUAGAAGAAGGAAUACCUGAGUUUGAGCUCAAGUCAAACCUCAUCAAUUUGGUACAAGCUACACAAUUCAGUGGAAAGGCACAUGAAGAAGCCAGUGCACACUUACAGAAUUUCUUAGAGAUUGGAAGCACAAUCCACAUCAACGGAGUUGACAAAGACGUCAUAUUGCUUCGCCUUUUUCCAUUCUCACUAGAAGGAAAAGCGAGGAAGUGGUUCUACACUCAUCAAGAUAACAUCAACAACUGGACGAACUUGUCAGAUGUCUUUCUAUCAAAGUUUUUCCCUAUAGGCAAAACAACUGCCUUAAGAGGAAAUAUUGUCAGUUUCCAACAGCAGAAAACAGAAGCCAUUUCAGAAGCAUGGGAGCGUUUUCAAGGAUACAUAUCAGAUUGUCCUCACCAUGGAAUGGCUACAUGGUUACUUAUGCAGACCUUCUACCAUGGAUUAACCUAGAAGACUCGUGAGUGCCUAGAUGCAUCUGCUAAAGGAUCAUUCUUGGAGCUUACAACUGGAAAAGCAGAGAUACUUUUGGAUAAGAUAGCAGAAAACCAAAGCUGGUUCCAAGAUAAAGCUCAACAAUGUCAUCAAACUGAAGAAAUACCAGAAGAAGUAAAAGCAUUAUCAACUAAGAUGGAAAAUUUGCUCCAUUGGAUUGACCAGAGGGCCAAGUUCAAAGAAGAUCAAAGGGCCAUUGAGACAGCAUACAAAUAUCAACCAACUUCAAGUCAACCCAAUAGCAAAGGUAUGAAUUCAGGUAAUACUGUCAAGCAACUUUCAUUAAAAGAGAUAAUUGCUCAACAAACCAAAAUUAAUGAUGAAGUUAAACAAAGGCUAGAUACAAAUGAAUCAUCUCUAAAAGAUAUACACAAUAAAAUGAAUUUUCUACUAACUGCCUUUGAUGAGCAAAACACUCUUAAUAAAAGGGUAGAACUUAAAUUAAUAAAGAUAGCUGCUGCACUGCCUGUUGCUACUAACAUUGAGCAGGUAAAGAAUAUAACUACUAGAGGAGGUAAAGCUACCAGAGAUCCACCAUACCCAAAAGAGAAACAAAGAACAUCAGCACCAGUGCAACCAGCAGUGAUAGAAGAAGAAGGCCCAGUUGAAGCAGAAGAUCUGCUCCAACCACCAAGAACUGGAGAAAUGAGGAAAGAUUUUUACGACAACAACUAUUUGCCAUUUCCCAGAAGAAACAGAGGACUGCAGUCGGAUGAGCAGUUUGGUAAGUUUGUAGAGGUCAUUCAGAAAUUAUAUGUCAACAUACCUCUGCUCGAUGCCAUACAGGUACCUACAUAUGCAAAGUACAUCAGAGAUAUUCUUAACAAAAAGAGACCACUGCCCACCACUGAGGUUAUCAAGCUGACAGAAGAAUGUAGUGCGGCCAUCCUCAACAAACCACCAAAGAAGAAGGAAGAUCCCGGAUGUCCCACUAUUGAUUGCUCAAUUGGAAACCAACACUUCAACAAUGCACUUUGUGAUCUCGGAGCAAGUGUCAGUGUGAUGCCAGCAUCAGUCUACAAAAAGCUUAAUCAUGCAACCCUAGAACCAACAUCAAUGUGCCUACAACUAGCGGAUCAAUCGAUUCGACACCCAUUGGGCAUCGCCGAGAACAUUCCAGUCAAGAUCAGAGAUUUCCUUAUGCCAGUAGACUUCAUAGUACUGGACAUGAGUCCUGACUCAAAAGUAUCCAUCAUCCUUGGAAGGCCAUUUCUGAGCACUGCCAAUGCCCACAUUGAUGUCGGAAAAGGAGAAAUCAAGUUCAACAUAAACGGUCAAGAAGAACACUUCACAUUCAAACCCAGAUUAGAGAGAGACUCUACAGUGAAGGAAGUUCAUGAAGAACCACUGGAGACACCAUCUCCGGAGGAAGGAAACUCAGAAGGUUAAAAGAAUUGGAGGUCCAGCUUGGGGGACCUAAAAAUCCCAAACCCUCACCAGGAGGUAAAUCGGUAUUUAUCCGCAUUAUUAUUUUUCUCAUAUUUAAUUUCUUGCAUAAUUAAAUCUUGCAUUAGUCACAUUUAUUCAUAGCAUUAUUAUAAUAAUCAAAAAGCCCCAGAUAAAUAAUAUUCGUGGUGUGUAACAACCCAUAUUUAUUAAUUAUUGUGGGGGCACAAAAAUAUUUUCCAAUACCAUUUUCAAUAAGUUUCGAUUCUCAUAGAUUUUCCUGCAUUAUAUUUAAUCAUAUAAAUCUUCUAGAAGCAUGACCCACACUCUUUGGGUCCCACAUGUCAUACACUUCAUCUCACAUACAUCCCAUCACAUAAUUUCAUCCACCAAUAUGUUUCCACUCACCUGACAUCUUUCCACCGUCCAACCACCACCGACACAAUAUUAUUCUGCGUGAGAUCAAAGCAAGGAAGCAAGUGGAGGAGGCACACCCAGGAUGGGCAUCACAAGUGGGCGCCCGCCCACCUACCAAGGGCGCCCGCCCUGUCCCCUCUUCCUCCUAUAAAAGGCCACCUCCAGCUCCCCUUCUCUUCACACAAACACUUCAGAAAACCACACAAAUCUCAGUUUCCUGAGGAGGAGCUUUUGUAGUAAAGAGAAGAGAGUAAAAAGAAAGAGGAGAGUGGAAGAGAAGGUUGGAGUUCUUAUGAGAGAGUGUUUGUCACCUAGCAAGUAGUGAUCCCGUUGUCUAAGCGGAAGUAAAAGUUGUUUAGGGGGAGGCUCUACCAAAAUAGAAACUUGUCUUGAACAAUUAACCCCUUACUACUGACACUCCGGACAGCUAACCACUAACAUUUUAUCUCACAUUUUCCACCAGUUGUGUUUUUGCCAACUUUUGUUUGCAGGAUGUUUAAGAAGGUGAAAAAUGCAGGGAAGGCUCUCAAGAACAUUGGUACAAGGAGUUCAACCCGACACUCCUCACAGCCAUCAGAGAUGAGCGUCGAUCCGACACCCACACAAGCUCCAUCAUCUUCAUCAGGCCAGCAAGUCAAGGUCCUUCUCAAGAUAGGAGACCUUGGACUGAAGACCCGAAGAGAGAAGGAAGUCUAUCAGCAAUUGAAGAAUAAAUAUUUCAUUCACACUCCUACUAUCGAUCCAAUCCUACUACGAGAAACAGGUAUGGACACUGAAUUUGACUUAAUUUUUCAAAUGAUGGGUUGGACAAAUUUUUGGAAUAUAACUGAGCUGGGUUCUCGUCUUCUCACCCUCGAAUUUCUUUGCACUUUACAAUACUAUGAGGGGGGGAAUUGCUUUUCGGAUGUUUAAACAGGAAAUUAUGUUAUCUUGGAGAGAGCUGAGCGACCAUCUUGGUUUCUCUACAAGAUGCAUCCUGAACAUUGACUCCGAUUUACCCAAUUUUGAGAGACACCAGUUUUGGAGAGAAAUAUCUAGAGAUAAUUUUUACAGUCAAGCCCGAACCAGUGACAUGGAACACCCCACUCUUAGGAUGUUUCACAAAUGGCUUGGGUACAAUCUUUUCUAUCGCGAUGAUAUUAGGAAAGUAAGAGUAGGAGAUUUACAACUUUUAUAUGCUGCUAUUAGUAAAGUACCCACUUCACCUGUCACACUAUUAGUUUCACAUUUGCUUAGUAUACCUAGUCUUCAGGGACCAGUAGGAUGUACUUCACUUAUCACUCGUCUAGCCUCUAAUCUUCAUUUAUUAGAAAACUCAUCGUUGGACUUCAUAGAAGAAUUAAGAAUUUAUCAUGGCUAUGACACAUUUAGACAAGCUCGGAUGUUAAAGAAAGAGGGAAAUAUAAUGUACAUGUUGUAUGAUGAUAAAGGCAAGAUUCGGUUACCUAACCCGAACCUUGGCCUCUAUGCUGUGCAAAACUUUUUGAUUGAGAUUGCAGCAACACCAGUGAACCAGAGAACUCCAUAGCGAGUGGCAUCUGAAAGGAUAACCACUCACCGAGAACGCACUUGGUAUGGAGCUGACCCUGGACCAGAAGAAGCAGCGCACCUGCAUUAUUGCGAUUACAACCCUCGAGUCCUUCGAGACCCAUGGGCUCGUCAUGCGCAACCACAAGAGCCAACAGAAGAGACAUGGCCGGAGAGCCAAGAUCACCAGUGGACAAACCCGCCUUUUCAUACGGGCAGGUACUCCACUGAUCCAUAUGGAGCUUCAGGAUCCAGACCUCCGCCCCAAUUUGAUGCAGGACGAUACUCCGACGCCUCCUACGCCUUCACGAAUGACUAUUAUCAAGAGGCCGGUGCUUUCUUCACUCGUACCGACAACACCCUCCUCGACAUCCAGAACACGCAAGCAGAACAUGGAAGACUCCUGGAAGAGCAACAAAAAUGGAACCAGGACCAUGCCGCUGCAGUAGAAGAGCUGAGACAAGAUACAACAACAAUAAACGACAACAUCACAACUAUGAUGCGGUUCUGGAACAUCGGGUAAGAUCGACGGCAACAUCUAGCUUGGGGGAGUUCCUCCCUAAAUUUAUCGAGUAAGUUUUUAUUUGCUCUUCUUAUUUAUUCUUUUUUUAUUCUAGUAUUUAAUUUACCUUAAAAGGAAAAUUUAGAAAACCAAAUAAAUAUUUUCUUGCUUUAAUUUACUGCACUUUAUAAACACGAAAACAAAAUAAAAAGAGUGUGUAGAUAAGUGUGUUUUAUUUUUUCUGCUAAGUUUAAUCUCUAGAAAAAAUAAAAAAAAGACCAAAAAUAUACAUGAUGGAAAUGAUGAAUAGUUGCUCUGUUUGCUUACUUACAAGUACCUAGCUUUUAUAUUAGAAUUCUUCCAGGAAUUACUAAAACUAAAAUUACUAUCUUUGGGAGGCAUAAAACUAAAGUCUAGGUAAGAGAAAGGCAUGAUAUAAAGUUGAGCUACUGUUUAUCUUGUUUCUACUACACUAAGUUCUGGAGAUUUAUUUUGAAAACUUACAAAUCGCAUGAUGAGUUCCUAGCAUAACAAAACUACCUACCACAGCCAUACUUGCUAUAACAACUUUUACUAUAUUCACAUUGAGUUUGAUCGAGCUGUGUAGACCCUUAGGAGCUUUUCAUGUGGUUAAAUUAAGAUAUUCACUUGCACACAUCUACCACAGCAUUCAUCACCAAUCAUUAAAAUUGCUAAAAAUAUUAUCACUCAUUGUCCCGAAUAUUGUUAUUCUCUCGCUAAAAAGAUUCAAUGCAGAAGAGGCAUGGGUUAUGCAAAAAUAUACGAGGAAAUAAAAAAGGGGCAAGUGCCUGGAACCUCGAAAAAGAAAGAAAAAGAGUGAGACGAGAGGUAAAAAUGGACAAGUGUCCGAAGUAGAAUUAGGGGUACAAAGAUGCCCACUUGAGCGGAAAAAAUGGACAAGUGUCCGACAGUAGAAUUAGGGGUAUCUACUACCCAUCUCUAAAAAAAAGAGAAAAAGAUAGCCCAUGUUCUCCCAAAGCAAAGAUCAAAGAAGAGGAGAGAUAGCAAUACGAGGAGCGAUGAGAACCAAAUUUUAUUAUCACUUAUGCAUUUCCACCAUCAUUAUCAUUUACUCCACCACACAUGCACAUCUUGAUUUAAUUAUAUGCUGAGUUCCUUUGGAUCCAUGGCUCGAUUAGACAAUAUAUGUAUGAGCUGUUUUCCACUCCUAUGAGCUCCACUUAAAUAUUCCAUUAGCUAUAGGUAAGUGAUAUCAUGGUAAGGAUCCACAAAUACCACAUAUAGAGAGACCUGAGAGAAUCAUUGCUGGGAACUCUGAGUUUUAUUUUGAAAAUUUAUGAAAAACUCUAGAACAAAAGUGAAGUAUAGACAAGAGGGAUAGUGCUUGACUUAACUAUUUUGUCUUUUGAUUACUUAAGAUUUAAGUGCAGGUACUAAACUCCAUAACACUUCACUUUAAUCUGGAAGAAUUUUUAUGUACAAGCAUGUGUACC